rnacentral:lncRNA from 1 species
AGCAGGUGAACAGAAGAAAAACACAUGUACUAUUAUCGGUGUUCAUUAUUACUCUGAUCUUUCUUUUUCUUCUUCUUCUUGUUUGAUGACAGCAAGGUAGUGUGCUUAAUUUCCACGUGUAAUUUUUUUUACUGUCGACGCCUGUACUUUUGUGGUGAUUGCAGUAGCUUUGUGGGUGUUUUCAUUUUUCUCUCUUCUUUUUCCCCCCUAUAAGUUGGACCUCCUGUUCUUUGCCCUAUGGCUGUGGUUAUUAUUAUCUACACGAUCUGUGGCCGUUUGCUUGUAACCAGAUGGGAGAGCCCCUCCUGAUUAAAAACUGUGUAGCCCCUUAUGGUAAGCUGAUGUCACUCAUUAUCAUGCACCUGUACUACUAUAAUGUAAUGUGAUGUGAUGUUACCAGUGGGUGAUAAACCCUAAUACUAUAACUAACCAUCAUGCUUGUUGGCAUGAGCUGCUGUUGGCUAUUCUAAUCAUGUCUGUUGGCAUAAAGCGUAGCAUUCACAUGCCUGCUGCUGGCAUUCUAACCAUGUCUGUUGAGAGAGGGCAGCACUCAUGUUGGUUGCCAUGUUGGCCAUCCCAUCCAUGGUUUGUUUUUCCAACGGUUGAGAUGGAUUGAUCUGAUUUGGCUUUAUAUUUUGUAGUAUUAUUUACUUACUUUUUGGGUGUGGUUGGACCCUCCUAAUCUUGGUUGCUUGGGAAGGUGGCAUCGACCGAAUCAGGUGCGUGGAAAAGAAAUGACAAUGAUGUAUUUUUAUGUUGUAGGUGGUACAACUGGCUAAAAUAGCUGUGAUUUCAUAAUGGUGCUAGAUGGGGGCUGGCUGGCUGGCUGGCUGGGUUUUGUCACAUGCACCCAUGUGGCCUUUAACUGUUGCAUAAUUGCAUCCUGGCUGGGGUGUAAAGUAUCAAAUGAAAUGGGAGCAGCAUUCAUUCCCAGUGUUUCUAUUAUUAUUUUUCCUUCAGAAUUAUGGAAUUUUAAUAAUAAUAAUAAUAAUAAUCUGAUGCGUGUUUUGGACUGCCUAGUGAUUUUCUGCUGGGUAUGUGUGUGAACAAGCUCUGUCUUGUAAUAUCAACAUAUAUGCAUCUGCAGGAGAGGAAGCAGCUGUCUAAAUUUUUUUUCUCAUAUUUUUUAUUUUUCUUAGAACAAAACAACACCUUAUCUGUUUCCAUCAGCUUUAACUUGCUACUGACACCAAAUCUGUAAAAGAAAAAGGAAAGGAAAAAAAGAGGGGGGAAAAAGAAGACGAAAGCACAAACUAAGCCCACGGCCCAUCUCAGAGCUACUUCUGGCCCAACGUCGUGCACUUGCCGCCCGACGUGCCGAGCACGAGCAGCAGCACAGGCCGCGCCCAGGACAGCACACACCCCCGGGGACCCACACCUCAGAGACUUAGACCUCCCCGAGCCCUGCACCAUGCCAUUGCCACCACUUCUCUGCCACUACCACCUACUGCUCGCUUCCGUUCUUCUGCCAAUCAAGCAGAAUCGGCAUCUCCGCAGGAACAUUGCUACGAAGUAUUCAACUCCUGCUCCCCCCCUUCUCCUCCUGUUCUUCUUCCUCUCCGCCGCCGCCGUCUCGUUCAUCUUCUUCCAAAGAUGACAUACGUCCCCAUGGCAAAUGCAGGCAAUGUGCAUUGCUGACCUUCCAGUUCGAGUCCUGCGUGCAACAGGACUGAUGAUCAGCAGGGACGCAUUCGUGAUCAGGUCUUGUGUGCGCUGGAGGCGAAGGUGAACCAGGGAGGGAGUUUGGAGGAAGAGGAGGGGCUAGGUGGCUAACCGGCGGCUGGAGAAGCGCGGCGGAGGAGAGGCGGGAUGCUGCAGCGGGCGGCGAGCAACGCCUACUCGUGGUGGUGGGCGAGCCACAUCCGCACCAGGCAGUCCAAAUGGCUCGACAGCAACCUCCAAGGUCCGUUCGUCUUCUUCACGCCGCGCCACCCAUACACGCGCCUAGAUCUCGUUGCUUGCUUGGCACAUCUUUGAUCAUUUUCCCUGGUCAGAACUUUGCAUGAUGUCCUGCAGAGUUUGACAAAUGAAGUAGUGUUUCGUAUAUGGUCAGUUGCUUCAUGAUUGUGUUAUGGUAGUUGCAGCAAAAGAUGUGCUUUGUAUCACCAUUAUGGGCCAAGAAACACAUAGAUUACGUAAAGAAAUAUAGGCUACAUCACUGUCAGGUGAUCAUGAAAUUUAUGCAUGGCUCGGGUUAGCAGAAAUGUAUCACCGGUUGACAGAAAAGAUAUGUGACGAUGUUUGGUCACUCGGAUAAAGAAAUACUGUGCAUAUAUACAGUUAAAUUCCCUGCCCAAAAAUUGAUGCACCAUUCGGGUCGUUAAGGAUUGAAACAUAUACAGAAAUUAAGUGGACAAGCUGAAACCACUUGGAUAGCAACCCAGCAGUACUGCUUUGGUCUCAACAUUUCUUUAAUCAGAGUACCAUGAAACAUGCCAUAAGCAAAUUUCAGCAAUUCUGCACUUGCAAUUGGACACCAGCGCCUGUUCUGAAAAUAGGGUUGAAUUUCGCUGUUAUGUAACCAAGUACCUGUUUAACGCUACUAUAUUUUUGGUUGAACACUGAGCGAUUGCCUUUGAUGUGCAGAUAUGGAAGACAGGGUCAAGUGCAUCCUCUUACUCCUGGGAGAGGAAGCAGAUUCUUUUGCAAAGAGGGCGGAAAUGUAUUACAAGAGGCGACCAGAGGUGAUCAGCUCCGUGGAAGAAGCGUACCGGGCAUACAGAGCCCUUGCAGAACGCUAUGACCACAUGUCAGGAGAGCUACACAAAGCAAACCACACUGUUGCAACUGCCUUCCCUGACCAGGUUCAGUAUUCUAUGCUGGAAGAGGACGAUGACAGUCUCCCGAAGGCGUUCACGACGGUUGAUCCUCGUAAAAUCCACAAGUCAACGGUGGAAGGGCUGAUGAAUAAGAAGAAAGGAGGGAAGCCAGGACUGAAGGACGGAGGAAAGAGUCGUGCAGCACCGGCCAACAAGGAGAAUGCGCAAAAGGAGAUCAGCAGGAUGCAGAAAGAGAUAUUGGUGCUGCAGACUGAGAAAGAGUUCAUCAAGAGCUCUUACGAGAGUGGAAUCGCAAAGUACUGGGAUCUUGAAAAGCAAAUCAACGACAUGCAUGAAGAAGUCUGCUACUUCCAGGAGGAGUUCAACGAAAGCGUGGUGAUCGAAGAUGAUGAGGCCAGAGCUUUGAUGACAGCAACUGCUCUUAAAUCUUGUGAAGACGCCAUCGCCAGAUUGCGGGAACAGCAGAGGUUAUCGUUCAGCCAAGCAAUGGUUGAGCUGGAAAGGGCCAGUGUUUCCAGAGAGAAACUGAAGAAUAUCAUGAAAGAGCAUGGUAAGUUCAUAUCAGAUUCAGGAAACUCUCAUUACGAGAAUGUGAGAAACGAUGCCAGCGUUAAGAUGGAUGAUCUGUACUCUAUGAAGCAGGAGAAAAUUGGAAUGGAAGCAAUAGUAGAUAAGAUCAAGGAAUACUUUCAGAAAGACACUGAUAUUUCUGUGGCAGAGAUUGCAGAGAGAAUUGAUGACAUGGUCAAUAAAGUUGUGGACUUGGAACUCAUGGUUUCAUCACAGACUGCUAAGAUAGAUAGGCUGUGUCUGGAAAACACAGAGCUGGAGAUGUCACUGCAGGAACUGGAGGGAGAGAAGGCUAUAGCAACCAGUGGCUCAAAUGAAUUGAAUGACAAGCUAGAGAAGGCAGAAGAUGAGCUGAUGAGAGUGCAGUACCUUGAAAGCUCCUUCCAUGCAGAAGAAAGCAUAGUCCAUUCGAAUUUCACUGAAACGGCAAGUAGCUUCUGUUGUAUUACAGACUUGUUGCAGUCACCUCCUGUUGAGCACCAAGGUGGUUCUGUGCCCAUGCUGACUCAUGAAGCGGCACCCAUUGCUGACACUGAAUCAUCUGAUGAGUGCGAGAAAACAGAACCUGAAGAAGAUCCUCAGAUGGAUAAAGCUACAAUAAAGCCUGACAUAGAUGAACUCCCUGAUUGUUCCAGUAAACUGGAGCUAGCUACGGUCAGUGAUAACUGUCACCAUGACAUCAAGGAAGAAAGGCAAUACUGCGCAGAUGAUUUGGAGGAUUUGUGGGAUUGCGGGCUUGAAAGAAAGUCCAGCUUUGCAGUUGCAUCUGUAAAUAAGGAAACAGCAGAAAAUGUUAUUACAGAUAUGUUGCACUCACCUCUCACUGAGCACCAAGCUGGUUGUGUGCCCACACUGGCUGAUGAAGCAACACCAUCCGCUGACACCGAACCAUCUGGCGAGUAUGAGAAAAUAAAACCAGAAGAAGAUCCUCUGAUGAAUAAAGCUACAAGAAAGCCUGACAUAGAUGGACUCCCUGAUUGUUCCAGUAAGUUAGAGCUAGCUACAGUCAAUGAUAACUCUCACCAGUCUAACUGUUACAAUGACAUUAAGGCAGAAAGGCAUGACUGCACAGAUAAUUUGGAGGAUUUAUGGGAUUGUGGGUUUGAAAGAAAUGCUAGCUUUGCAGUUGCAUCGGUGAAUAAGGAAACAGCUGAAAAUCCAGACAAUGAUACUACAGAUAUGUUGCAGUCACCUCUCACUGAGCACCAAGCUGGUUAUGUGCCCACAAUGACUGAUGAAGCAACACCACCCGCUGACACUGAACCAUCUGGCGAGUGUGAGAAAAUAAAACCAGAGGAAGAUAAUCAGAUGGAUAACAAUACACAAAAGCUUCACAUAGAUGGAUUUCUGGACUGGUGUGGUAAGUCAGAGAUAGCUAUCAUCAGUGCUGAUUCAGAGGAUUUCGGUAAAUCUAGCUUUGCAGCUGCAUCAGUAGAUAAUGGCACAGCAGCAAAUGCAGAUAACAGUACAUCUGGUGAACAUAACAAUACAGAAGUGAAAUAUAAUCAUGGAGCCAUUGGCAGCAACAUGCAACCAUAUGUUGUACAUUCCCAUGAGCAAGGUUCAGUAGAUCGAUUGCAUCAAAAUUCACCUGAAGUCUCAUGGGAUCACGACCUAAAACAAGUGGAUGGCAAGCAAGAUUCAUUGACAGUGGUUCAUAGCACUUUCGGAGGCCACUCAGAACAAUAUAUGAACAUAGAAGAACGGUUACAAUACUCGCAUUUCACUGAAACUUUCGCUCCUGGCAAUGGGAAAGCUGUUGGUGUUGGAGAUCAAGAGAACAACAUGGCUAAUAUGCAGCAGUUGCUUAUGAGUGGACUCCAAGACAAGGAAAUGGUACUAUUAACCGAGUGCAAGAAAAAAGAAUCAGAACAAGAUCCUCAGAUGGAUAAAGCUACAAGGAAGCCUGAAAUAUAUGGAUUCCCUGAUUGUCCCAGUAACUUGGAGCUAGGAAACAACAGUGACAACAGGCAGCCAUCUAACAGUUACCAUGAAAUUAUGGCAGAAAAGCAUGACAGUGCAGGUGAUUCAGAGGAUUUGUGGUAUUGUGGGCUAGAAAGGAAGUCUAGCUUUGCAGCUGCAACCGUAAAUAAGGAAAAGGCAGAAAAUGCAGACAAUGAUGCAUUUGGUGAGCAUAAAAAUAAAGGAGUGAAAUAUGUUCAUGACAUUGUUAGCGACAAUGGCAGCAGCAUGCAACCCUAUGUUUUUCAUUCCCAUGAGCAGGGAUUAGUAGAGCGAUUGUAUCAUGUUUCAUCUGAAGUCCCAGCAGAUCAUCAUGUGAAGUCAGAGGACGACAAGCAAGAUUCAUCAACAUCUUGUCAUAGCAUUUCCAAAGGCCACUCAGAACAAGAGAUGAAGAAAGCAGAAGAGUCAGAAGACGCACCUACCACUGAAAAUUCAAUUCCUGGCAGUGAAAAGGCUGUUGUUGUUAGAGAUCAAGAGGAGAACAUGGCUAAUCUGCAGAAAUUGCUUAUGAGUGGACUCCAAGACAAGGAAAAGGUACUACUGACCGAGUACACUUCUAUCCUCCGAAAUUACAAAAAUGCAAAGAGAAGGCUUACAGAAGUGGAGAUAAAGAAUCAGGAAUGUUUGGAUGAGAUGAAAGCCAUGAUGAGCGAACUGCGCUCUGCCAAUGAAUUGAAGGACAAGGAGAUUCGGUCACUGCGUGAACUCCUGAACUCUUCCACUGACAAAGAUGCACAGCACAAUGGCCAUCAUCAAAUGAAUACAUACACGUCCUUGAGUAUCAAGAGUGGGUCCUUCAGGGGGCACCGAAGGAUCCCAAGCUUUUUGCCUGGUCAUCAAAGGAGACAAAGCGCUUCUUCGAGUUCGAGGAUAAUCAUGAAUAAUUCUAGUCCCAAGAACAAAGAUGAUGCAUCACAUGAUGCUGUUUUCGAGCCAGAAAGAAUCGGUAUGGGUGACAUCAAAUUAACUAAUAUUCUUGAGAUGCAGAAUGCCUCACCUCUUGAGGACAAGUUCAGAAGAGACAUCGAUGGGCUUUUGGAGGAGAACCUAGAGUUCUGGAUGAAGUUCAGCACAUCAUUCGAAAAGAUUCUAGAAUUGCAGACCAAGCAUGAUCAGCUGCAAUCAGAGAUUGGCAAGCAAACAAACGAGGACAAGCUCAAGGAAAACAGCGGUGGCACAAGUGAUCCCCUUGCAAAAGCUGAACCCGAAACCAUAGAGAAGCGGCUAAGGGAACUUACGAUUGAAAUGCAAGUAUGGCUGGAACAGAACGCUAUGUUCAAAGGGGAGCUCCAGUGCAGGUUUGCUUCCCUCUGCGGUAUACAAGAGGAAAUCCAGGCAGCAAUGGAGAUGGAUGCAGAGACUGUGGAAGGAAUUCAAUUCACUUCAUACCAUGCUGCCAAAUUCCAAGGGGAGAUCUUGAGCAUGAAGCAGGAGAACGACAAGGUUGAGGAUGAACUGCAGGCCGGCUUAGAUUAUAUAAGAGGGCUACAAGAAGAAAUCGAAAAGAUCCUGGCAAAGAUACUGAAGAGCACUAGCUUAUCUGGGUCGAAAGGCAGCAGCCCUUGGAGGAAUGCGCCCUCUAAGUCACGAGUGCCGCUCCGGUCAUUCCUCUUCCCAGCCAAGAAAAAGAAACCAUCGCUGUUGGCAUGCAUGAAUCCGGCACUGCAGAAGCAGUACAGUGACAUGGCAUUCUUCGCUAAAAUGGAAUAGGUAAACCCUGGCUGCCUGUUCUUAUGCGUUAAUGGCUAUACUUUCAGCUAAUGUUGUUCUUCCUAUGAGUUGAUGGACUAACAUGCUGUAUAGGUAAUCAGGCCUUCAGGAUGGAACCAAAUUCAUCACACACGGAGCCAGAUGAACUGUGAGGCAAAUAUGAUUAUCAGGUUGUAUCAGGCAGCUUCGUUCGGCUAAUUACAAGCCUCCCACAACAUAUUUAAGGGAGAAACUAGGGUUCACAUUUAGCUAUUUCUUUUCAGGGGACAUACAUAUAUAUACUUUUGUCAAUAAUUUUUUCAUGCACUAUGGCAGUGAAUUUCUCAUUAUUUUAGCUACAAAAGGCAGGAAUUUUAUCUGUGUGAUUUAUGAGAUGAGCUGCACGAUUGGUUUGAGCCUGCCAUAGUGCCGUUCAACAAGGAUGAAAACACACGCAUUCCGAAACCUCUGUAAUGUGGCGCCAUUAAAGCAGUCACGAAAUGCGCUAUAUCUUUGCUUGUGCUUCGAUUUCUAAACGUAGGUAAUCGUGAGUUCUUUCAUCUCCGGAUGAUAGAGCAAGAAGGACAUAUAGCAUCAAUGGUAAUCGAACGAAAUGGAGCAAAGAUGGGUAUAAUAGUGAUCCUUACCGGCUUUGGACUCUUUCUCAUGUCGCUGCGCAGCGUUGGCCGCGGCCGCAUUCCGUCGAGCAGGUCGCGGGCACCCGGCGAGGCAGCCCCAUUCUUACUCUUCCUCCUCUCCCCAAGACGGCGACGCGCUUAGUCCAGGCACCCCCCAUUCCACGCGGCAGAGGCGCGUAUGGCGCCCCGAGACGCGCCCACCUCCACGGCUGGGGAGGUCGCCCAGCUCGCAAAACCGGACCCCUCUUCCCCUUCCCAUCUCCGUCUCCCUAGAGCUUCGUUUUGGUUUUUCCUAGCUCGACCUCCGCGGGUUUUUCCCAUCUCCGUCUCCUAGAUGUCCCUGUCUGCCUGUUCUUAUAUGCAUUAAUGGCUAUACUUCCAGUUAAUGUUGUUCUCCCUAUGAGUUGAUGGACUAACACGCUGUAUCGGUAAUCAGGCCUUCAUGAUGGAACCAAAUUCAUCACACGGGGAGCUAGAUGAGCUGUGAGGCAAAUAUGAUUAUCAGGUUAUAUCAGGCUUCAUUCAGCUAAUUACAAGGCUCCCACGGCAUAUUUAAGGGAGAAACCAGGGUUCACAUUUAGCUGUUUCUUUUCAGAGGGCAUGAAUUCAUACUUACUUUUGUCAACAAUUUAUUCAUGGCAGUGAAUAUCUCAUUAUUUUAGCUACAAAAGGCAGGGAUUUAAUCUGUGCAACUUAUGGGAUCAGUUGCAUGACUGGUUAAGGACGAGCAACACACGCAUUCCGAAACCUCUGUAAUUCGAUUUCUUUGCUAGUGCUUAAUUCGAUUUCUAAAUGUAGGUGAUCGUGAGUUCUUUCAUCUCCGGAUGAUAGAAGAGUAAGAAGGACAUCGCAUCAAUGGCAGUCCAACAAAACGGAGCAAAGAUGGGUGUAGUAGUGAUCCUUACCAGCUCUGGACUCUUUCUCACGUCGCCGCACGGCGUUGGCCGCUGCCGCAUUCCGUCGAGCAGGUCACGGGCACCGGGCGAGGCAGCCCCAUUUCUACUCUUCCUCCUCCUCUUCCCACGACGGCGACGCGCGCAGCCCUCACCACCCGCCCGGCAGAUGCGCGCGUGGCGCCCCGAGCCGCGCCCACCUCCACGGCGGGGGGGAUCGCCCAGCUCGCAAAACCGGACCCCUCUUCCCCUUCCCGUCUCCGUCUCCGUCGAGUUUCGUUUUGGUUUUUCCUAGCUCGAUCUCUGUGGGUUUGUUCGUGAUCUCGACUGAUGGGGCUGGCUUACUUUGUGAGAACCGCGAUCCUUGCUUGUUCGUCGUGGGCUCGCAAUAGGUGUCAGGACCCAAGCCACUGCUCGUCCGAAGAUGACUGAAGCGGCGUCGACGAAACUGAAGAAGAAGCGAGGUUCAGACAAACAACGGCCCAGAUUGUCUAAAGUGGAAAUGAACGGCUCGGAUGGAUCCUCACCUUCAUUACCGUCUUAGUUCAAAACUAAGCACUUGUUCAUUCUACUAAAGUGAGUGUUUGGUGGAAUUACCACUGCAGUUUGGUGCGGGUUUUACUUGUACCUCGAUCCAGUACUGGAAACCCUAAGAUGUACAACUUGUCUCUCCAGUUUUUUUUUUUGAACAGUCGAGGCUUUGUUCUCCCCACCUGAAUUUGAUCUCGUCCAAACAAAAUUUUGGUCUAUUCCCCUGUUCGAUAAUUCUUGUCGUUUAUGAAACUAAAACCACGAGAAGAAUUUGUUCUACUCAAAUUGAACUAAAAUCACAGCAAGAAUUAUGAAAUGGAUGGAGUAGUUUAUGACGCAAAAACAGAUCAAAAACCUGAACAAAUUGACCCUGUUUAUAAGGGAAACCGGAUCCAAAACCGACUUCUCUCUCCAAUUGAUCAUCAACUUGUUCAAAUGUUCAUGCAAAUUGAGUGAAAUGUGAGGAAAUUCCUCAAUCCAGGUCUCACAAAUCACAAAAUAACAAAUUCAGCCUAGCAAAACAGCAACAACAAGUACCCUACUUCACGAGCUCGAAACACUCACUACACAACUCAAAAAAAUAUAUGGAUGUCACCACUGAAAAGAUGGCAUGAUUUAGUUCAAAACACAUGUAGAGAUCAACCUCAUAGGAUGCACAAACAAAAUGCAACAAAAAUGACAAAUCAUCAAGUUCUGUUAACAGACAGCAAUAAACAUUAUAUAGCACUCUUGCAACGAUGAUUCAGGCAUCAAGAUGACCUCAAACAAAGAUAGCACAAUGGAAUGAAAUUAAGAGCAUCUCAUAAUGAACAUUUUGACAUACAUAUGCAUGAAACAGAGCUACGGAUGCAGAGUUAUGAUGCGAUGAACAGGGCAACAUUAUGCAAAAAUAUUUAGGGACUUGGCCAAAAAUCGGGGUCAACCUUCGGGAUUGGAUCUGGAUCGGGACGGUGCGGUUUCCGAGGUUGACCGGAGCAACCUCGCCGGAGACGGGCGGCCGGCGGCCGGAGAGGGCCGGGGACGGCCGGAGUGGGGGGGGGGAGGCCGGAUCCGAGGCGCUCCUCGCCGGAUCCGGCCGGAGGAGGCGAGGGAGAGGCCNNNNNNNNNNNNNNNNNNNNNNNNNNNNNNNNNNNNNNNNNNNNNNNNNNNNNNNNNNNNNNNNNNNNNNNNNNNNNNNNNNNNNNNNNNNNNNNNNNNNNNNNNNNNNNNNNNNNNNNNNNNNNNNNNNNNNNNNNNNNNNNNNNNNNNNNNNNNNNNNNNNNNNNNNNNNNNNNNNNNNNNNNNNNNNNNNNNNNNNNNNNNNNNNNNNNNNNNNNNNNNNNNNNNNNNNNNNNNNNNNNNNNNNNNNNNNNNNNNNNNNNNNNNNNNNNNNNNNNNNNNNNNNNNNNNNNNNNNNNNNNNNNNNNNNNNNNNNNNNNNNNNNNNNNNNNNNNNNNNNNNNNNNNNNNNNNNNNNNNNNNNNNNNNNNNNNNNNNNNNNNNNNNNNNNNNNNNNNNNNNNNNNNNNNNNNNNNNNNNNNNNNNNNNNNNNNNNNNNNNNNNNNNNNNNNNNNNNNNNNNNNNNNNNNNNNNNNNNNNNNNNNNNNNNNNNNNNNNNNNNNNNNNNNNNNNNNNNNNNNNNNNNNNNNNNNNNNNNNNNNNNNNNNNNNNNNNNNNNNNNNNNNNNNNNNNNNNNNNNNNNNNNNNNNNNNNNNNNNNNNNNNNNCGGCGGGCCGCGGCCGCGGGGACGACGGCGGCGGACAGGUGGCGGCUCCGGAUUGGGCAGGGGCGGCGGCGGACAUGUCCGGGCGGCCGGGGAGAUGUGUCCGACGGCGCAGAGGAAGAGGAGGCUAGGGUUUCAUCCGCGAAUUUCGGGGGAGACACAUAUUUAUAGAUUCUGGGAGCUAGGAGAGUCCAAAUGAGGAGCGGUUUUCGCCCACACGAUCGUGAUCGAACGACCGAGAGCAUGGAGGGGGUUAGGAUGGGUUUUGAGCCACUUUGGAGGGUUGUUUGGCUGCAACACAAAGAGGGCUUUACGGUUACCCGGUUAACCGUUGGAGUAUCAAACGGACUCCAAAUUGCACGAAACUUGACAGGCGGUCUACCGGUGCUAUACCAAGGCCACUUGGCAAACCUCGGGCCAUUCCGAGAAAGUUCAACAUCCGCUCACAACAGGAGAAAAAAGGGGGGACGCCGGAGGACAUAGGAGUGCCGGAUUGCAAAACGGACAACGGGGAAAAUGCUCGGAUGCAUGAGACGAACACGUAUGCAAAACAAUGCACAUGAUGACAAGAUAAAAUGCAACACGGAAGCAAGUGACAUGGCAACGACGGCGAAUAACUGGCGGACACUUGGCGCAUUGAAUCCGGGGCGUUACACCCAAUCCAUAAAGGACAAAUAAUAUAUCAUGCCAAAGGAACAGAAAAAUUUACAGCAGCAAAAAGAACAAUAUACAAUACACUUUAUAGCUGGAAAAACCACAACAACCUCAAAGCCUAGAUAUGCAUCACACUGGUUGAUAUGCAUCACACUGGUUGAUAGACAUGUUUGUUUCAUGUUGUUAUCAUGUCCACCUUACUACUGAACUGGUUUACCAAAAUGAGUUUCAUAUACUACAUUCUAAACCUGUGAUGUGUUUGUUUGUUUUUCUUUUAGAACGCGAAUAAAAUAUUGGAGAAGAGUACCUCGUUAUGCAAUGGUAAAGGAAGUAAUGCAGAUAAGGUUCAAGAUAGUGAGAUAUCCCUGUUGGUCUCCAAGAAAGCUGAUAAAAACUACAUUGAAGACACUGAGACAACCCCAAAGUCCUGUCUUGAUGUAGUGUUCGAGUUACUGGCUAUUACUGCUGGCACCAGCUCUUUGAACUCGUUGUCUAAAUCAGUUCGGCUUCUUGAGUCUCAACUUCAAGUUGAAAGACAUCGAUCAGAUGUUAUGCGACAGGAAGCCGAAGGACCGAGGAAGUCCCUGCAGAAUUCAGAUGCCUACUUUCUGGUGCAACAACAAGUGCUGGAGGAUUUAAGCGCCAAACAAGAGAAAUUUAAUAAGCUUCCUAAGCAUCUUGCCAGCAUUAUGGGUACCCAGGAUAUUGUUUCUUGAGCUCUUCUGGUGUGGUUUCAGUUCUGUACUUGUUGUGCUGCGGCGUUUAUAUGCUGUUGUGUUCCCUAUAUUUGCAUUGGUGGCGAACUUUGAUGCCCAAUGGAUGUAAUAUGUGCAAUAGCCAUGAUAGCCUAGCGUAAGUUGCUUGCUUAUUUAUUUCAUUAUUGUCUUGUUUAUUUUUUUGCUUGUAGCCAGUGUAGUUCUUUUUCCACGGUUUGCUAGUGGCCGCAAUAAUCUAUUUUUUAAAACUAGGCCACAAUAACCAUGGGCUACAUAUUUACUGUAAUUACCAUUUCUCUCCUACGGGUCGUAGAAACAACCAGCCUUCUACGGGUCGUAGAAACAAUGGGCCUUAUACGGGUCGUAGACGCAAUGGGCCUUCUACAAGCCGUAUCAUCAAUGGGCCUUCUACGGGCCGUAUGAUCGGUUGGCCAAACAUGGGCCAAUAACAGACCGCAUUAUGACCGUAAACGGGCUAGAGUUGGAAUCGUCCGUUCAUGGGCCGACCAUAACGGGCCGUCGUUAAUCGGCCGUAUUUGAUGACGCUAUGAAAAUAGCCCAACGUAUUAACGGGCCACAAACGGGCCGACUGUAACCUCAGGCUGAAUUUGGCCCACAAGCAGAAAAGGACAGUAAUGGGCCGUAAGUAAAUGAAUGCUGGAAAUGAGCCCAAGAAUAAAUGGACCCUGAGAAGGCCGAAAGAUAACAUCGGCUGGAAACGGCCCAACGGAAUAACGGGCCGUUAAUGGGUAUAAAGCGAUACACUGUUCAUUACGGGCCAGUUUCACCACGGGCUGUUAAUGGGUAUAAAGUGAUACACUAUUCAUUAUGGGUCAGUUUCACCACGGGCCAUUAAUGGGCCAAGAGUUACAAAUGUCCUCAUAUGGGCCGAAAGACGUCAUGGGCCAUACAUGGGCCAAAAGUUAAAACGGGCUGGAAUCAUAUUGGACGGCCCAGAUGACGCUACUAGGCCUAACUUGGAUAGGUCGUAAUGGGCCCUGGGUUAGCGGGUUGUAAAUGGGCUAUAUGCGAACAGGCCGUUAACAGGCUUUCCAUGGGCCGGCCCGCCACCUUUUAACCAAGCCAAACGGGCCGGCCUUUUCACAGGAAUGUGCCUCUAUUGAGCUAUGCCACGUGUCGACGUAUCAUAGGCGCCUUCUAUCCAAUGAGUGGAUGACAUCUGUCCCAACGGUGAGCCAACACAUGUUUCCUCCAGCCAAUGAUGAUUUUACACGUGGAAAAUCCCCAUUGGUCGGUGUUGUUAAUGGGUUUUCGGAUCCAAAACCGGACCCGAUAGUUUAAUGGCGUUCCGUUAUGAUGGAUGCCACAUGUCGGUCACCCUUGACGAAAGCACUUCUGUGACGCGUGAUUUAUCAUCAUGGAAAUGGACACUUCCGUGAAGAUAAUUUUGGUAAUGUCAUGGAACACUUCUACGACAGCACAUGUAUGACUAUCUUGAUUCUGUCAUAAAAUCAUCAUGGAUGUACAUGGAUGACAGAAAACGUGACCCACUGUCACAAACACGUAUCAUCAUGAAAGUGUAUUUUUUUUGUAGUGAAUACUAGCUAGUAAAGUUUAUCAGCUGUAGCAAAAAGAUUAUUUCUAACUUCUGAUGCAUCAUCAAUGUUACCAACUAGUAGCUGGUUUAGUUUGUGGGUACAAUUAACAGGGCAGUAUCAUACCAUGUCUGUUUGUGAGCACAAGUGAUUGAAAAUGAUGUGAAACCAUAACUCCAAAGAGUAGCUAGCGGAGGUUCUAGAGAAGACAACAUCCCUUGUUGACUAACAAUCAAAUACAAGUUGCACAACACCUACACUACACAUGCCUUGAACAAAAUGGCUCUAGAUCAAAUGUCAAAUACUCCAGCCUUCAAGUACUACAAGAACUUAAUAUGCAUGUUAUGUUAAUUCCAGUCAUAUUUAUCAGCAUCCUUUCAAGAACAUCAUAUCAUCAUUGCUACAGGGGUUACACUGCAGUAGAAUCUAUGAUGAGCAAUUAAAUACAAGUGAAAAAUAUGUUUUCAUGUGUGAAGUCCCAGGAUGAGUAGUUGUGAAACAGCAAUUGCAGUGAGCUAUUUCAACUACAAAAAAGAAGGCCCAGCUUAUCAGUGAGUUACUCGCAUGGGAUGGUCAGCCCCACAAGCAUCAUGCAUAGGCACAUCACACAUGCAUAAAUUUCCAAGAUAUAACUGGGUGGGUGUCUAAUAAUUCAGGGCUUGAAUCUACCAAGUAUCUUAGCAUAAUGCAUAACUAUUGUCUCUUUUCUUUUUAUGUAUUCUUCAGCAUAAUUCACUACACAGGGAAGAACAACAACUUGAAAUGCGGUAUCUCUCUUAGAGAAGACGAGAGGGUAAGUACCUUGAAGAGCUCGUCAAGAGCACCCAGAUGGAAGUCUCCUCGUCCUCCUGGACGAGAGAAGAAGCACAUGGAAGGGGGGAGGAUCCUAUCACGGUGGUAGACAACGGGGGAUGAUCCACCAUCCUCGUUUGGGUGAUCAGUCGACGACCUCCCCGGUCUUCUUGUGCUUCGACAGAAGGCAUUAGCCAAGGGUGCUCUUGAAGGAAAUAUGCCCUAGAGUCAAUAAUAAAGUUAUUAUUUAUUUCCUUAAUUCAUGAUAAAUGUUUAUUAUUCAUGCUAUAUUUGUAUUAACAGGAAACUUAGUACAUGUGUGAAUACAUAGACAAAACAUAUAGUCCCUAGUAUGCCUCUACUUGACUAGCUCGUUAAUCAAAGAUGGUUAAGUUUCCUAACCAUAGACAUGUGUUGUCAGUUGAUGAACGGGAUCACAUCAUUAGGAGAAUGAUGUGAUGGACAUGACCGAUCCAUUAGCUUAGCAUUAUGAUCGUGUUAGUUUCAUUGCUACUGCUUUCUUCAUGACUUAUACAAGUUCCUCAGACUAAGAGAUUAUGCAACUCCCGAAUACCGGAGGAACACUUUGUGUGCUACCAAACGUCACAACAUAAAAUGGUGAUUAUAAAGGUUCUCUAGAGGUGUCUCCGAAGGUGUUUGUUGGGUUGGCAUAGAUCGAGAUUAGGAUUUGUCACUCCGUGUUUCAGAGAGGUAUCUCUGGGCCCUUGAUACGUCUCCAACGUAUCUAUAAUUUUUGAUUGUUCCAUGCUAUUAUAUUACCCGUUUUGGAUGUUUAUGGGCUUUACUUCACACUUUUAUAUCAUUUUUGGGACUAACCUACUAACCGGAGGCCCAGCCCGAAUUGUUGUUUUUUUUUUGCCUAUUUCAGUGUUUCGAAGAAAAGGAAUAUCAAAUGGAGUCCAAACGGAAUGAAACCUUUGGGAGCGAUCUUUUUGGAACAAACCUGGUCCAGAGGACUUGGAGUGGAAGUCAAGAAAUAAAGGAGGCGGCCACGAGGGUGCCCGGUGCGCCCCCUACAGGUGGGCGCGCCCCCCACCCUCGUGGGCCCCUCGGGUGUCCACCGACCUACUUCUUCCUCCUACAUAUACCCAUGUACCCCGAAAACAUUAAAAGCGACCACGAAAAACUAUUUCCACCGCCGUAACCUUCUGUAUCCGCGAGAUCCCAUCUUGGAGCCUUCGCGAGCGCUCCACCGGAGGGGGAAUCGACCACGGAGGGCCUCUACAUCAUCUCCAAGGCCUCUCCGAUGAGUUGUGAGUAGUUUACCACAGACCUUCGGGUCCAUAGUUAUUAGCUAGAUGGCUUCUUCUCUCCCUUUGAAUCUCAAUACCAAGUUCUCCUCGAUCUUCUUGGAGAUCUAUUCGAUGUAACUCUUUUUGCGGUGUGUUUGUCGAGAUCCGAUGAAUUGUGGAUUUAUGAUCAAGUUUAUCUAUGAGAAAUUUUUGAAUCUCCUCUGAAGUCUUUUAUGUGUUAUUAAGUUAUCUUUGCAAGUCUCUUCGAAUUAUCAGUUUGGUUUGGCCUACUAGAUUGAUCUUUCUUGCAAUGGGAGAAGUGCUUAGCUUUGGGUUCAAUCUUGCGGUGUCCUUUCCCAGUGACAGCAGGGGCAGCAAGGCACGCAUUGUAUUGUUUCCAUCGAGGAUAAAAAGAUGGGGUUUAUAUCAUAUUGCAUGAGUUUAUCCCUCUACAUCAUGUCAUCUUUCUUAAUGCGUUACUCUGUUCUUAUGAACUUAAUACUCUAGAUGCAUGCUAGAUAGCUGUCGAUGUGUGGAGUAACAAUAGUAGAUGUAGGCAGGAGUCGGUGUACUUGUCACGGACGUGAUGCCUAUAUACAUGAUCAUGCCUAGAUAAUCUCAUAAUUAUUUGCUUUUCUAUCAAUUGCUCGACAGUAAUUUGUUCACCCAACGUAAUACUUAUGCUAUCUUGAGAGAAGCCACUAGUGAAACCUAUGCCCCCCAGAUCUAUCUUUUAUCAUAUAAGCUUUCAAUCUACUUUUAUUUGCAUCUUUACUUUUCCAAUCUAUAUCAUAAAAUACCAAAAAUAUAUUUAUCUUAUCAUAUUAUCUCUAUCAGAUCUCACUUUCGCAAGUGGCCUUGAAGGGAUAGACAACCCAUUUAUUGCGUUGGUUGCGAGUUCUUGUUUGUUUGUGUAGGUGCGUGGGACUUCUGAGGAGCCUCCGACUGGAUUGAUACCUUGGUUCUUAAAAACUGAGGGAAAUACUUACGCUACUAUUGCUGCAUCACCCUUUCCUCUUCAAUGAAAAUCAACACAAGCUCAAGACGUAGCAGCCCUUGAUACGUCUCCAACGUAUCUACUUUUCCAAAUACUUUUGCCCUUGUUUUGGACUCUAACUUGCAUGAUUUGAAUGAAACUAACCCGGACUGACGCUGUUUUCAGCAGAAUUGCCAUGGUGUUGUUUAUUGUGCAGAAAACAAAAGUUCUCGGAAUGACCUGAAAAUCCACGGAGAUAACUUUUGGAAAAUGUCGUGGAAUUAACACGUCAGAUGUCCUUAGUGUGAGGACUUAGUCGCGAGGCCAACGCAUCUAUGUGGUAGCUUGAGAGGGGUUGAACGGAAUCGAGAGACGCAACACAAGACAAGGGUUUAGACAGCUUCGGACCCCGGGAAACAUCAUCCGGUAAAAACCCUACAUGUUGUUUGAGGCUAGAUCUCAUUAUCAUCAUGAGGGAGUCGCCGUAAACCGGCUCUCUUCUAGUUGUGUCUAGUCCUAGAGAUUGUUUCUUGCUUGUCCCUCUUUGGGGAGCCCUGCCCCUUCUUAUAUAUGUUGAAGGGGCGGGUUGCAUGUGGAGUCCAACUCGGACUUUUACUUAAACUAUUUUGACUUCCUUUCCUGGGCUUCUCAACGUCUGCCAGUUUAACAUUGUCUGCCGGUUUAACAACGUCUGCCGGUUUAACAAUGUCUGCCGGUUUAACAAUGUCUGUCAUCUGUCUUAACUCUGCCGGUUUACCACUUGCCGGUUUACCGUCUGUCUUAGCCAUCUGCCGGUUUAACAAGUCCCGGCCGGUUUACGACUCCGGCCGGGUCAUACCGCGGGGUAUAUCCCCGACAUCAGCCCCCAGCUUAAUUUGGUUUUAUCCAUGUUAAACUGACUUGAUCGUCCUUAAGUCCUUGUCACUUCCUUCUUCUAGAAAAUCCGGUUUAAUAGGCCAGCUUCUUAAUCAAUUUGCUGACAUUGGUUUGUCACAGAGAAAUAUUGUGAAGAAUAACUUCUUUGACUCAGCACCUAGUGACUUAACAAAAAUAAUGGUCCUUGAAAUCCUCAUCUGCUCUUCAGCCGGUUUAAGAAUGUAGAACUUGCCGGUUUAUAAAUAUUGAUAACACCGGGUCAUACUUGUAGUUAACAUCCAGCUUGAAAAUAUACCUCUUUAUAUGACUUAUCACUUGUAGCCCCCAAGUCUUAAGAAGGUAGCAUAACAAUAGCUUAAGACUUGCUUCAAUAUAAAUAUCACAAUCUUGAAGAAAUCCAGGUUGUUCAUCUCAAUCACUAGUCAGAAUUGAGUAUUCCACAUAUGUAGCCCCCAAAUGCCGGGUCAUUAUGCAAUAAUGAGCAGGGACUUUGUAAAUAUAAUCAUGUAAACUUUGAACAGCAACGUGUAGCCCCCAAGGGCCGGCUCAGUAAGAUAAUAUUGAGCCGGGACUUUGAUAUAUACUUCAAUGAAAAUUACAUCAUAUGAUAACCCCCAUCAUGGGACUUGAAUCCACGUCCACAAGGUUAAGUGCCUUGUGCUUUACCAACUGAGCAGUGGACCCUUCAAUAUAAUGAAUAAAAAGCUUUGUACCUUGAAUUGUUGACAGGAGCAAUUGGUAGCCCCCAAGGGUCGGCUCAUUAUAAUGUGAUGAGUCGGGUUUUCAAUAAGAUGAGCAAAAAAUGACUUUGCAUUAGCCCCCAAGUGUCAUGGUGCAUGCUUGCAGCGACAUGAGACUUGCAUAUUUGAUGUAAUCUCAACUUAAAUAAUGUAGCUCCCAAGUGCCGGGUUGUAAGCCUGCAGCAACUCGGGACUAUUCCUUCAAUUGUAGAACAAAAAUCAUAUCCAUUGAUAAUAUGAUAGCCAUUGCGCUAAAGCGACUUUGAAAACCUUAAUCAUAAUACUGGUUAUUGAUAACCAUAAUAGAAAUCCAACCAUGUUGGCUAUUUGAAUAAUAUACCCAAUGAUUUAUAAGCGCAUAAUUCCAAUGGCGCAAUCCAAAUAUAUGCUGGCGACUUAUAGUCCAAAGCCAGGCCGGGUCAAUAAACACCAGAUUAUAAGUGAUUAUGUACUGACAACUUGUAGUUGAAAGUCGAGCCGGGUUAAUGAACACCGGGUUAAUUUGAUGACUGAUAGUCAUGCCGGGUCAAUAGACACCGGUUCAACAUAGAAUUUAUCAAAAGAGAAAAAUCUUGACAAAGGCAAAUAAAACCGUGUAGUCGAGGCUUUUUGAGGGCUGCCAGGCCCAAAUUCGAGGCUUUUUGUGGGCUGUCAGGCCGCUGAGUUGAACCAUUUAACAAAGCCUUUUAAGAUGGACCUCCAACUAAUCAAUCACCGUUUUAACUUUGACAAGUGCAGGGUCUCAAUGAAAGUAAAUGUCAAACGUUCGGAGGGCCGUGCCAGGAUGACCUGGAUAGGAGUGUCUUACUUGAUGAAGGCAGGUUAACCCGGAGUUUUAGGUAAAUAUACCGGGCUUCCAAGCCGUGGGUCGAUACCCAGCUACAAGGGUCCGUUCAAACUCCUUGGUAUUUGACACAAGGAGCCCCCAAGUAACGUGAUGAGUUGUGCUCAUUGGGUGCUUAUGUUUGAGCUGUGCGUAGCAACAAGACUCUCUUUGGCCCCUUGGGUGUGAAGCUCCCAAGCUGUAUUGUGGCGUGAUAGCCGGAUUAAUGGACAGAACUCCGCUUUGUCAGCCGAAGCCCCCUUGUAACCAAUAAUAUGAUAGCCAAUAAGGCGGGAUACCCAUGUUUGAACCGUGCAUCAUGGCAACAUGUCCUCUUCAGCAACCUUUAACUUUUUGCAAGAGAUAAAUUCUUCUUGAACCGGGAUUUUGAACCGGAUAUUGAGAGCUUCAAAGCUUUGUAGGAGAUAACUUUCCCUUAAACCGGAUAUUUAACCGGAAUCCUUCUUUUUAAGCCGGAAAUUUUCUGACGGCCUUUAAAUUUGCACCAAUAUGGCGGUGUAGGGUCCUACAUUAGACAACUUUGCAGCCGGAGUAAUUGCUCUUUUAAAGAAGGCAAUAUGUAUAAAAUAUAUUGAAUAGAUUUCACCUGAUAUAUUAGGCCCAAAAUGAUCCACCGCGUAGUUGGUGAUCACCCCGGUAAAGGCGGACGAGUCGGCGGUAGGCGCGGACAAUGAGUUAAUCACAUAUGUUGAUGUAGCGGGGGCGGCGACUUGCUCACAUAUCCGUCCAAUAGUACGGCACGGACAAGUACUAGUGCAAAAGCAAUAUUGGCUUACGCCCCUUUGCCACAUCUUUGUAAUAAUUAAUGGUCCUGCGAAAUAAAAAUACCACAUACCAGAAUAAUUGUUUUUCAAACAAUGUAAUAUAUACUGAUAAGAUUUAUAGAAAAGAUAGCACCUGGUGUUUGUAAACCACAGAUGAUCUGGACGUAGACACCCGUAGAUAACCUUUCUAUGCGGUUAGUGAAUUCUGUUUGAUGCUUAUGUAUGCAUCCAAAGGAUUUUCAACAACACCUGAUCACUUUGACUUUUCGUCCAACAAGCCCCCUUUUUUUUCUUUUAAUCAAGAAGCCUGAUGCAUAUCUCUUCCCCUCAUUUUUUUUCAUCAAUCUGCAAGGGAGCGUACGGGCGCAACCCGUGUGAUAGGACGACCAGAGCGGGGACACAGCGGGGCGGCAAGCCAGCAGGGGCGAUGCAAGAAUCAGCCCUGGCGCGUUGCGGGAGCAGCGUGGUGGCAUGAGGAGGAGCAAUGCGGGAGGCUGCUCGCGGAGGCAGGCCGGAGUGGAGGUGCAAACCGGCGAUGGCGGGGAUGAGGCGGUUUAUCCAUGGCGGGUCCGGCUUGGCGCGGACGCUGGGUCGCGUGGCGGCGGGUUCGGUUUGAAGCCUUGACAGAAACGGCCACGAGACCGGACGGCUUGAGGCGCUGUGGUACGGGUCAGGGCGGAGGUCCAGCAGGUUGAAUCCUGCGGCGGCGGUUUACUGAUGUCGCAGUCUGGAUCCGGCGUGGGUGGCCCGAGGCAGCAGAGGGGUACCGGUGAGCGUGCUCGCAGGCAGCAAACGAGACUGUGAGGGCGACUUGGCGGCGCAGGGCGGCUCACCGGCGGAGAUGAGGUAGUAACUCGGCGGUGCAGGGCGACGACUUACAGAUGCAAAGACGGCCGGAGAGGCCGUCGCCUUGCGAGGCAGACUGGUGCUGGCGAAUGGGGAGCACCUGGCCACAGGGAGGGCCAUGUGUGCAGUCGCUCGAGGCGGCGCGGCUCUGAAGCGGCGCGGCGAUUCAGGGUGGAGCAUCCACAGUAAAAGCGGCGGGUCAUGGCAGUUUGAGGCGGGAGGGUCCCGAUGGCGACUCGGCGGAGGUCAUGAAGUUGACUCGGCGCGGUGGCGGUUUAAUACAUCAGGCGGUUCGAGGUGCGGACGCGGCUGUAGCUGGAUGCGAGCACUGAGCAGGGCCACGGGCGAGGCAGACCCGGCGGGAGGCAGAAAGCAGCCGCGGUCACUCGGAUGGUGCCGCAGUUCUGCCGGGGUUGACCCGGGGCGGAGGCGACUCAACAGGCUUCGGCGGCGAGUUAGGCAGCGGACGGCGGUUCAACUCGGGCGGCUUGCCGCGGAGCACGGGAACAACAGCAGCUGACGCGCAGAAUUGGGGGCGCGGGUUGCAGCCAACGCGGAAGAGGCAGCGUCAGCGCGAGGCGAGCCGGUGGAGGCCUCGAGCGUCGAGGAUGCUGGCGAUUUAAUUGCAGAGGCGACAGCACAAACCGGCGGCGUCCGUCAGUCAAUCCGGUGUGUUGAAUAUACCGGACCGCAGAGGGGUCGGCCCGUCUUGAUAAUUCUUUGGGUGUACUCAAACUAGUACAGUACUGAUGAUUAUCAGCGCAUGUUUCUUUGAUCUGGGACUAUUUUGCCUGGUACACCAAUCGAUGGCAGCAGUGUGAGGAGCGCCCAUGAGAUAUUCCUCUGAAUAUGUACUAGCUCCCAGUAGUUUUUGGCAGUGCAUGUGACGUCCAUCAGUGCAUGUAACACUGAUUUUUAAUUAAAUCUCAAGAUCCACGUGAGUACUAUUGUACUUAUUGCCGGCAGGUUAUCCCUUGCUAAACAGUACCCAGCUCCUCACAAAAUCAGAGCUCGCAUAGGACCUUUUGAACAGAAUGAUUUGCAGCUUAUAAUUAUUCUUUCAGGUAACAACUGGUCCAUACAUAAAAGCUUCGCCAAUGGUUCUGCAGCAUCACAUGGCUGAAAAAAAAACACUGAUCUUUUCAACUCAAGUAAACCUGUGCGUUGUUGUCGGUAACUGAUCCAUCAUGAACUAUGCCGCAGCCGCUCGAGCAGUGUGAGUUAGCGGCCCAGGAACAGCAACGGGGCGGGUCACAGUCGCUCGAGCAGUGUGAAAGCGAAGCAGGUCUACCACGAAGGCUUCAGCUGCGGCUCGGCGGGCCAACCCGGCGCGGUUUGAGCAGCGCUAUAACAGAAGAAACGGAAGGCCGGACCGGCGACUCAGCGCGGCGCGGGACGGCAGCAGAAGGAGCGGAGGGCUGGCCCGGCGGAUCAGCAGGGGCCAUGAUGUCUUGUGGAGGCGUAUUGCAACGGUGGCGGGUCGAGUCGGCGGCAACCAGCGGAUUGAGGCCGCGCGCGCGACCGCAGCGGCAGAGUUGCUGCUCAGCCGGGUUGAGGCGACCACAGUCAUUGUACGUAGGUUAGGAACCAUGGAAGCCUACAGCGAGGUAAGCCGGCGAGGCGGCUCAGAUCAGGGUCACGGCGACGGCGGCCCGCUGCGGGACCGCGGACCACAGCAACGGAGGGCGGCUCGACGGAGACCGACGACUCAACAGCUUAGAGGCGGUUCGGGGUGAGGCCGCUCCGGCGAGUGCGGCGCAAGGCGACUUGAGUCGGGUCUGCGACUUGGACGAUAAGCAACUCGUCUCACAGAUGCGGCGGCCAGGGCAACUCGAGGUUGAAGCAAUUCAAGGGCCAAGUGACCGGGUUGGCGAAGGCGGAGCAGUCUCGACGGACCGCGGUGGUAACUCGGAUUCGGCGAGACGGGUCAACCCUGGCCGGUCUGACCCUGUCCGGGUCGUACUUUUUCUUUUGGUCAGAGCAAUACAAAGGCUAGGGCUCGUGGCAACUUCGGAGGCAACGUAACGAAAAAACUGAUGCAUAUCUUGGCUUUUAAUGGCGUUUUCAAUUCGGUUUCGUCGGAUCAUCUGGACGCUGCGGUGUGUACCGUCUUGUUCAACUCCAAUCUCAACCGUGCGCCCGAUGCCACGUUGUUGGUGUGCGUGCGGGCAUUGGUGCGACGAUUUUCCACCGUUCCUGAUGAGGAUCAACAGAAUUGAACUUUGAAUCUGAUUGAUUGCGAACUUCUUGAUCCCUGAGAAAGAAUCCCUCCAAGAACUCAACACCACCGUGCGCAGGCCCCACGGUGGGCGCCAACUGUCGUGGAAUUAACACGUCAGAUGUCCUUAGUGUGAGAACUUAGUCGCGAGGCCAAUGCAUCUAUGUGGUAGCUUGAGAGGGGUUGAGCGGAAUCGAGAGAUGCAACACAGGACAAGGGUUUAGACAGCUUCGGGCCCCGGGAAACAUCAUCCGGUAAAAACCCUACAUGCUGUUUGAGGUUAGAUCUCAUUAUCAUCACGAGGGAGUCGCCGUAAAUCGGCUCUCUUCUAGUUGUGUCUAGCCCUAGAGAUUGUUUCUUGCUUGUCCCUCUUUGGGGAGCCCUGCCCCUCCUUAUAUAUGUUGAAGGGGCGGGUUACAUGUGGAGUCCAACUCGGACUUUAACUUAAACUAUUUUGACUUCCUUUCCUGGGCUUCUCAAUGUCUGCCGGUUUAACAUUGUCUGCCGGUUUAACAACGUCUGCCGGUUUAACAAUGUCUGUCGGUUUAACAAUGUCUGCCAUCUGUCUUAACUCUGCCGGUUUACCACUUGCCGGUUUACCGUCUGUCUUAGCCAUCUACCGGUGUAACAAGUCCCGGCCGGUUUACGACUCCGGCCGGGUCAUACCGCAGGGUAUAUCCCCGACAGAAAAUAUAAAAAAUACUGGUGAAAGAAUCAAGGCCAGGGGCCCCACACCCUGUCCACGAGGGUGGGGGCGCCCCCCGUCCCCCUGGACGCGCCCCCCUGUGUCAUGGACCCCCUGAUGCUCCACCGACCUCAACUCCAACUCUAUAUAUUCCGUUUCGCGGAGAAAAAAUCAGAGAGAAAGUUUCAUCGCGCUUUACGAUACGGAGCCACCACUAAGCCCUAAUCUCUCUCGGGAGGGCUUAUCUGGAGUCCGUUCGGGGCUCCAAAGAGGGGGAUUUGUCGCCAUCGUCAUCAUGAACUAUCCUUCAUCACCAAUUUCAUGAUGCUCACCGUCGUGCGUGAGUAAUUCCAUUGUAGGCUUGCUGGAAGGUGAUGGGUUGGAUGAGAUUUACCAUGUAAUCAAGUUAGUUUUGUUAGGGUUUGAUCCUUAGUAUCCACUAUGUUCUGAGAUUGAUGUUGCUAUGAAUUUGCUAUGCUUAAUGCUUGUCACUAGGGCCCGAGUGCCAUGAUUUUAGAUCUGAACCUACUAUGUUUUCAUGAAUAUAUGUGAGUUCUUGAUCCUAUCUUGCAAGUCUAUAGUCACCUAUUAUGUGCUAUGAUCGACAACCCCGAAGUGACAAUAAUCGGGAUACUUCUUGGUGAUGACCGUAGUUUGAGGAGUUCAUGUAUUCAUUAUGUGUUAAUGCUUUGGUCCUAUACUCUAUUAAAAGGAGGCCUUAAUAUCCCUUAGUUUCCAAUAGGAACCCGCUGCCACGGGAGGGUAGGACAAAAGAUGUCAUGCAAGUUCUUUUCCAUAAGCACGCAUGACUACAUUCGGAAUACAUGCCUACAUUAUAUUGAUGAAUUGGAGCUAGUUCUGUGUCACCGUAUGUUAUAGCUAUUACAUGAGGAAUCGCAUCUGACAUAAUUAUCCAUCACUGAUCCAAUGCCUACGAGCUUUUCACAUAUUGUGCUUUGCUUAUUUACUUUUCCGUUGCUACUGUUACAAUUACUACAAAACUACUAUCGUUACUUUUUCCACUGUUACCAUUACUAUCAUACUACUUUGCUACUAAAUACUUUGCUACAGAUACUAAGUUAUCCAGGUGUGGUUGAAUUGACAACUCAACUGCUAAGACUUGAGAAUAUUCUUUGGCUCCCCUUGUGUCGAAUCAAUAAAUUUGCGUUGAAUACUCUACCCUCGAAAACUGUUGUGAUCCCCUAUACUUGUGGGUUAUCAAGACUAUUUUGUGGCGCCGUUGCCGGGGAGCAUAGCUCUAUUCUUUGAGUCACUUGGGAUUUAUAUCUGCUAAUCACUACGAGGAACUUGAAAGACGAAAGAACUAAGAUUUUUCCCUGAACUACGAGGCGAGGUAAGGAACUGCCAUCUUACUCUGCACUAGAUUCUCCUUCUGUUUUGAGUAAGCUUGCGACACCUAAGCCUGCUACUGCUAUGAAUUCUGAUAUGUCGCAUAUUAUUGAUGAUGCCACUUCUGCUAUGCAUGAUACUUAUGAUGAAACUACUUCUGUGCUUGAUACUACUUUGCCAUUAGGUGAAUUUCUUGAUGAACAACUUGCUAGGGUUAGAGAGAAUGAAAUUAUUGAAGAUGAAAUUAUCGAUGAUAGUGAUGAUGAAGGUUCUCCCCUUAAGUAUGAAUUGCAUGUUGUUCCUGAGGGUUAUGUUAUGGAUGAAGAAACUGCUAAAGAUCUUUUUGCUUGCAAUGAUAGAUCUGAUCUUAAGAAGUUACUAGCUAAACUUAAACAGAAAACUCUGAAUGCUAGAAUGAAAUAUGACCCUGCUUUUGCUACUUCACCUAUCUUUGUUACUGAUAAGGAUUAUGAAUUCUCUGUUGAUCCUAAGAUAAUUACCUUAGUUGAAUCUGAUCCUUUUUAUGGCUAUGAAUCUGAAACUGUUGUGGCACAUCUUACCAAGUUGAAUGAUAUAGCCACCCUGUUUACUAAUGAUGAGAAGUCUCGCUAUUAUUAUAUCCUUAAGAUAUUUCCAUUAUCAUUAAAGGGUGAUGCUAAAACUUGGUUUAAUUCUCUUGAUCCUGGUUGUGUGCGUAGUCCCCAGGAUAUGAUUUUUUACUUCUCUGCUUAAUAUUUCCCUGCUCAUAAGAAACAAGCUGCCUUGCGGGAAAUAUAUAAUUUUGUGCAAAUCGAAGAAGAGAGUCUCCCACAAGCUUGGGGGAGGCUUCUCCGAUUACUUAAUGUUUUGCCUGAUCAUCCUCUUAAGAAAAAUGAAAUACUUGAUAUCUUUUAUAAUGGACUAACCGAUGCUUCCAAGGACCACUUGGAUAGUUGUGCUGAUUGUGUUUUCAGGGAAAGAACAGUCGACCAAGCUGAAUUGUUAUUGAAUAAUAUGUUGACUAAUGAAAAUAAUUGGACUCUUCCUGAGCCAAUUCCUGAGCCAAUUGAGCCAACUCCUGAGCCUAUUCCUAAACCAACUCCGAAGAAGGGGGGUGUUCUAUUUCUCAGUCCUGAAGAUAUGCAAGAGGCAAAGAAAUCAAUGAAAGAAAAAGGUAUUAAAGCUGAAGAUGUUAAGAAUUUACCUCCUAUUGAAGAAAUACAUGGUCUUAAUAUGCCGCAUGUUGAAGAAAUACAUUGUCUUGAUAACCCGACACAGGUAGUAAAGGUAAAUUCUCUGUAUAGAUAUGAUAAAGUUGAAAUCCCGUCUACUAAAUUUCAUAGCCAAUGCUUAGAUGAAUUUGAUGACUUUAUGGCUAGACAAUAAAGUUUUAAUGCUUAUGUUGGUAGAGAAUUAAAGAGUAAUGCUUUCAUGAUAGGACGCUUGAGUGAUUAUAUGGCUAGAGUUAAAGGUGAACUUAAACUCAUUAGCAAAUAUGCUUCUAUGGUUACCACUCAAGCAGAACAAGUACUUAAAGCUCAAAGUGAUUUGCUCGAUGAAUUAAUAAUAAACAUGCUUUUAGAGUGGCUACUAGAACUGGUAGAAUGACUCAGGAACCUUUGUAUCCUGAAGGCCACCCUAAGAGAAUCGAGCAGGAUUAUCAGAGAAAUAAUUUAGAGGCACCUAUUCCUUCUAAAAAGAAGAAAAGGAAAAAUGAUAGGACUUUGCAUGCUUCUAGUGAACCUGUUGUAGACACACCUGAGAAUCCCAAUAAUAUUUCUAUUUCUGAUGCUGAAACACAAUCAGGUGAUGAACAUGAACCUAGUGAUUAUGUUAAUGAUAAUGUUCAUGUUGAUGCUCAACCUAGCAAUAAUAAUGAUGUAGAGAUUGAACCUGCCGUUGAUCUUGAUAACCCACAAUCAAAGAAUCAACGCUAUGAUAAAAGAGAUUUUGUUGCUAUGAAGCACGGUUAAGAAAGAGAACCAUGGGUUCAGAAACCCAUGCCUUUUCCUCCUAAGCCACCCAAGACAAAGGAUGAUGAGGAUUUUGAGCGCUUUGCUGAAAUGAUUAGACCUAUCUUCUUACGUAUGCGCUUAACUGAUAUGCUUAAAGUAAAUCCCUAUGCUAAAUAUACGAAGGAUAUCAUUACAAAUAAAAGAAAGAUACCGGAAGCUGAAAUCUCCACCAUGCUUGCUAAUUACACUUUUAAAGGUGGAAUACCAAAGAAACUUGGAGAUCCAGGAGUACCAACUAUACCAUGCUCCAUUAAAAGAAACUAUGUUAAAACUGCUUUAUGUGAUCUUGGAGCCGGUGUUAGUGUUAUGCCUCUCUCUUUAUAUCGUAGACUUGAAUUGAAUAAGUUGACACCUACUGAAAUAUCUUUGCAAAUGGCCGAUAAAUCAACUGCUAUACCUGUCGGUAUUUGUGAGGAUGUGCCUGUUGUGGUUGCAAAUGUCACUAUCUUAACGGACUUUGUUAUUCUUGAUAUUCCCGAGGACGAUAGUAUCUCAAUUAUCCUUGGUAGACCCUUUUUGAAUACUACAGGGGCUAUUAUUGAUUGCAACAAAGGCAAUGUCACUUUUCAUGUUAAUGGUAAUGAGCAUACGGUACACUUUCCGAGGAAACAACCUCAAGUUCAUAGCAUCAGUUCUAUUGGAAAAGUUCCAACUAUUAUUAUUGGAGGUUUUGAAUUUCCUCUUCCUAUUGUCAAGAAAAAGUAUGAUAUUCUUAUUGUUGGGGAUGUUCAUAUCCCCGUUGAGGUAACUUAGUGUUAUUCGAAAUUUCUCCGGUUCCAUGUUAUCCGGAAUGAGUUUGUUAACAAGACUUGAUCAACCUUGUUAGUGGAUUCCUUUUGAUGAUCAUGAUAUGGAUGAAACUAGAAGGCACAACCUUCUGUACUCUCCUUUUACUCUCUGUUAUUUAGAAUAAAUAAAGCAAAAAUAGUAUUAUCUGUCUGUUUUCUAAAUUAUCAAUGCAAUAAAAAAAUAUCCCGAAAAUAAAAGUGCUCCAAAUGCCCUGCAAAUUUAGUAUGAUUUUUAUGGAAUAUUUGAGGAUUUUAGGCACUGAGAACACAGCAGGGGGGGGGGGGGAAUCACCUGGCCAUGAGGGUCCAGGGCGCGCCCCCCUGUCUCGUGGGCCCAUGGUGCCCCCCUCCACUUAUUCCUGCACCCACACACUCCAUCUUACUCCCAAAAAAUCCCCAUCCAGCUCAAGCACGAGUUCUAGCUCAUUUUGGUGCGAUUUUCGAUCUCCUUACUCAAAGCUCCAUUCACAAAACUGCUUUGGGAGAUUGUUGCUUGAUAUGUGACUCCUCCAUUGGUCCAAUUAGUUUUUGUUCUAGUGCUUUAUUCAUUGCAAAUUUUUGCUGCAUAGGUGACCCUGUUCUUGAGCUUGCAUGUCAAAUUUAUGAGGCCCCAAGUAAUUCUAAUGCAUGAUAUAGGCUCUAGGAACUUGUGGGAGUAGUUGUUAUCAAUCUUGUUUAGUUUGAUUCACUUUUAUUUUGAAGUUACUAAAAAUUUCAGAAAUUUUCAGAAAAUGAUGAGGAGAUUAUUGAGGGGCUCUUCUAGCCAAGGCUCUAAGGAUAAAUAAGCUAAGGAGAAAGAAAAGGCCAAGUAUAAUCUUCCUCGCGUAGCGGAAGUAAGGCCUUGUGUGUGGCCAUGUGAUAAUUUCUUGAGAGUAGCUGCGAUCCUUGGGCAUAGACCAACUUAGGCCAAAAGCCUAAGCUUGGGAAGUACGUAUUUCUCACCAACUUUACAUUCAUAUUCACACACUAUUCUAGUUGUCGGUGCUCAUACUCUUUCAUUGUACUUUCCAUGCUAGUUUAAUUUAUUUUUCUAGCUUUCUUCUUGUGUGUUUGAUAAACCUUAAGAAACCCAAAAAAAUUAGUUAGUUUAAUUUCCAUGCUUGUAGUAGUAAUUAAAAGAAAACCCAAAAAGAUUUCUCGUUCUUCUUUUGCUUGUUGGGAGCUUUCCCGUGUAAAUAGUUUUAUUUCUUUUCUUUCUUUUGGGGGUCAAGAGUAGAAGACCAUAUUGAAAAUGUUUAGUGGCUCUCAUAUGCAUGAUUGUUGAUUUAACUUAGAGCCCAUAUUACCUUGUCUUCUCUCUUGAAUUGAAUGCUUGCAGAUUCUAGCUUAGUCCAAUGCACGUGCACUAUUAUUAUUAUCCACACCGUUCGGUCAUGCAAGUGAAAGGAAAUUAUGACGAUAUAUGAUGGACUGGUUGAGAUGAGAGAAGCUGGUAUGAACUCGACCUCUCUUGUUUUUGUAAAUAUGAUGAGUUCAUCAUUCCCGAUUCAGCCUAUUAUGAAUAAACAUGUUUGCAAUGACAAUUAGAGAUUAUAGUUGCUUAUGCCAUGCUUAAUUAGCUAGGAGCUUAUAAUGGUUUAUCUUGCGUGCCAACAUGCUAUUAAAAUGGUUGUGAUGUGGUAUGAUAGGGUGGUAUCCUCCUUUGAAUGAAUUGAGUGACUCGACUUGGCACAUGUUCACGCAUGUAGUUGAAACAAAUCAACAUAGCCUUCACGAUAUUUAUGUUCAUGGUGGAUUAUAUCCUACUCAUGCUUGCACUCAGUGUUGAUUAAUUUUAAUGCAUGUUCAUGACUAUUGUCGCUCUCUCAGUUGGUCGCUUCCCAGUCUUUUGCUAUCCUUCACCUGUACUAAGCGGGGAUACUGCUUGUGCAUCCAAACUCCAUAAACCCCAAAGUUAUUCCAUAUGAGUCCACUAUACCUUCCUAUAUGCGGUAUCUACCUACCGUUCCAAGUAAAUUUGUAUGUGCCAAACUCCAAACCUUCAAAUGAAAUUCUGUUUUGUAUGCUCGAGCAGCUCAUGUUUCAACUAGGGAUGUCUGUAUCUUCCAUGCUAGCUGGGUUAUUCUCAAGAGGAGUGGACUCCGCUCCUCAUUCAUGAGAAAAUGGCUGGUAACCGAGAUACCCAGUCCCAUGAUCAAAAAGAUCAAAGCAAAUCAAAAUAAUUAAAACAAAACUCCCCCAGGACUGUUGUUGGUAUGGACGAUACCCCGUUGUUUCGAAUGGCCGUGGAGUGUGCUUGUUGGUGGUGGGGGAGUAUAAACUUUACCAUUCUGUUUGGGAACCGCCUAUAAUAUAUGUAGCAUGGAAGAUAUCGAGAUCUCAUAGUUGUUGCAUUGACAAUGAAAGUAUACUGCUCAAAAUGUUAUUCAUCUCUAUUUUAAAAUCGAGCUCUGGAACCUCUACAAAUCCCUGCUUCCCUCUGGGAAGGGCCUAUCUAUUUACUUUUAUGUUGAGUCAUCACCCUCUUAUUAAAAAGCACCCGCUGGAGAGCACACUGUCAUUUGCAUUCAUUACUAUUAGUUUAUAUUGGGUAUGACUUGACUGGAUCUCUUUUACCAUGAAUUACAAUGUUUAGUCAGUCCUUGAUCUUUAAAGGUGAUCUGCAUUUAUGUUUUGCGGUUUCAGAAAGGGCUAGCGAGAUACCAUUUUGUCAUAUCAUAUCAUGAUUGUUUUGAGAAAGUGUUGUCAUCCGAGUUUUAUUAUUAUUGCUCGCUAGUUGAUUAUGCCAUUGAUAUGAGUAAACAUGAGACCUAAGUGUUAUUGUGAAUAUGGUUAGUUCAUAAUCUUUGCUGAAACCUUGAAUGCUGGCUUUACAUAUUUACAACAACAAGAGCAAACAGAGUUUGUAAAAGUUUUUCUUUAUCACUUUCAGUUUAUCAACUGAAUUGCUUGAGGACAAGCAAAGGUUUAAGCUUGGGGGAGUUGAUACGUCUCCAACGUAUCUACUUUUCCAAACACUUUUGCCCUUGUUUUGGACUCUAACUUGCAUGAUUUGAAUGAAACUAACCCGGACUGAUGUUGUUUUCAGCAGAACUGCCAUGGUGUUGUUUAUUGUGCAGAAAACAAAAGUUCUCAGAAUUACCUGAAAAUCCACGGAGAUAACUUUUGGAAAAUAUAAAAAUACUGGCAAAAGAAUCAAGGCCAGGGGCCCACACCCUGUCCACAAGGGUGUGGGCGCGCCCCCUAUCUCGUGGGCCCCCUGAUGCUCCACCGACCUCAACUCCAACUCUAUAUAUUCCCUUUCACGGAGAAAAAAAUCAGAGAGAAAGUUUCAUCGUGUUUUACAAUACGGAGCCGCCGCCAAGCCCUAAUCUCUCUCAGGAGGGCUGAUCUGGAGUCCGUUCGGGGCUCCGGAGAGGGGGAUUCAUCGUCGUCGUCAUCAUCAACCAUCCUCUAUCACCAAUUUCAUGAUGCUCACCACCGUGCGUGAGUAAUUCCAUCGUAGGCUUGCUGGACGGUGAUGGGUUGGAUGAGAUUUACCAUGUAAUCAAGUUAGUUUUGUUAGGGUUUGAUCCCUAGUAUCCACUAUGUUCUGAGAUUGAUGUUGCUAUGACUUUGCUAUGCUUAAUGCUUGUCACUAGGGCCUGAGUGCCAUGAUUUCAGAUCUGAACCUAUUAUGUUUUCAUGAAUAUAUGUGAGUUCUUGAUCCUAUCUUGCAAGUCUAUAGUCACCUAUUGUGUGUUAUGAUCCAACAACCCCGAAGUGACAAUAAUCGGGAUACUUCUCGGUGAUGACCGUAGUUUGAGGAGUUCAUGUAUUCACUAUGUGUUAAUGCUUUGGUCUGGUACUCUAUUAAAAGGAGGCCUUAAUAUCCCUUAGUUUCCAAUAGGACCCCGCUGCCACGGGAGGGUAGGACAAAAGAUGUCAUGCAAGUUCUUUUCCAUAUGCACGUAUGACUAUAUUCGGAAUACAUGCCUACAUUAUAUUGAUGAAUUGGAGCUAGUUCUGUGUCACCCUAUGUUAUAGCAAUUACAUGAGGAAUCGCAUCCGACAUAAUUAUCCAUCAGUGAUCCAAUGCCUACGAGAUUUUCACAUAUUGUGCUUUGCUUAUUUACUUUUCCGUUGCUACUGUUACAGUUACUACAAAACUACCAUCGUUACUUUUGCCACUGUUACCAUUACUAUCAUACUACUUUGCUACUAAAUACUUUGCUACAGAUACUAAGUUAUACAUGUGUGGUUGAAUUGACAACUCAAAUGCUAAUACUUGAGAAUAUUCUUUGGCUCCCCUUGUGUCGAAUCUAUAAAUUUGGGUUGAAUACUCUACCCUCGAAAACUGUUGCGAUCCCCUAUACUUGUGGGUUAUCAGCCCUCUCGGUAAUACUCAUCACUACAAGACUUGCAAGCAUUGUGACUAGUGAGUUAGUUGUGGAAUGAAGUAUUACGGAACGAGUAAAGAGACUUGCCGGUAAUGAGAUUGAACUAGGUAUUGAGAUACCAACGAUCGAAUCUCAGGCAAGUAACAUAUCGGUGACAAAGGGAACAACGUAUGUUGUUAUGCAGUUUGAUCGAUAAAGAUCUUCGUAGAAUAUGUGGGAACCAAUAUGAGCAUCCAGGUUCCGCUACUGGUUAUUGACCGGAGACGUGUCUCGGUCAUGUCUACGUAGUUCUCGAACUCGUAGGGUCCGCACGCAUAAUGUUCGAUGAUGAUUGGUAUUAUGAGUUUAUGUGUUUUGAUGUACCAAAGGUAGUUCGGAGUCCCGGAUGUGAUCACGGACAUGACGACGAGUCUCGAAAUGGUCGAGACAUAAAGAUCAAUAUAUUGGAACCUAUGUUUGGACAUCAGAAUGGUUCUGGGUGAGUUCGGGCAUAUACCGGAGUACCGAGAGGUUACCAGAACCCCCCCCCCUCGAGAAGUAUAUGGGCCUUAUUGGGCCAGAGUGGGAGAGAGGAGAAGGAAGCCUAGGAGGGGGGCGCCCCCAAGCCCAAUCCGAAUUGGGUGGGGGGCCGGCCCUGAUAACCCACAAGUAUAGGGGAUCGCAACAGCUUUCGAGGGUAAAGUAUUCAGCCCAAAUUUAUUGAUUCGACACAAGGGGAGCUAAAGAAUAUUCUUGAGUAUUAGCAGUUGAGUUGUCAAUUCAACCACACCUGGAUAACUUAGUAUCUGCAACAAAGUGUUUAGUAGCAAAAGUGGUAUGAUAAUAAUGGUAACGGUAGCAAAAGUAAAGAUAAAUGUUUUUGGGUUUUUGUAGUAGUUGUAACAGUAGCAACGGAAAAGUAAAUAAGCGAAGAACAAUAUGUGAAAAGCUCGUAGGCAAUGGAUCAGUGAUGGAUAAUUAUGCCGGAUGCGAUUCCUCAUGCAAUAGUUAUAACAUAGGGUAAUAUAGAACUAGCUCCAAUUUGUCAAUGUAAUGUAGGCAUGUAUUCCGUAAAUAGUCAUACGUGCUUAUGGAAAAGAACUUGCAUGACAUCUUUUGUCCUACCCUCCCGUUGCAGCGGGGUCCUUACGAAAACUAAGGGAUAUUAAGGCCUCCUUUUAAUAGAGAACUGGACCAAAGCAUUAACACAUAGGGAAUACAUGAACUCCUCAAACUACGGUCAUCACCGAGAAGUAUCCCGAUUAUUGUCACUUCGGGGUUGUCGGAUCAUAACACAUAAUAGGUGACUAUAGACUUGCAAGAUAGGAUCAAGAACACACAUAUAUUAAUGAAAACAUAAUAGGUUUAGAUCUGAAAUCACGGCACUCGGGCCCUAGUGACAAGCAUUAAGCAUAGCAAAGUCAUAACAACAUCAAUCUCAGAACAUAGUGGAUACUAGGGAUCAAACCCUAACAAAACUAACUUGAUUACAUGGUAAAUCUCAUCCAACCCAUCACCGUCCAGCAAGCCUACGAUGGAAUUACUCAUGCACGGUGGUGAGCAUCAUGAAAUUGGUGAUGGAGGAUGGUUGAUGAUGACGACGGCGACGAAUCCACCUCUCCGGAGCCCCGAACGGACUCCAGAUCAGCCCUCCCAAGAGAGAUUAGGGCUUGGCGGCGGCUUCCGUGUCGUAAAACGUGAUGAAACUUUCUCUCUGAUUUUUUUCUCCCCGAGACGGAAUAUAUGGAGUUUGAGUUGAAGUCGGAGGAGGUCCAGGGGGCCCACGAGAUAGGAGGCCGCGCCCUAGGGGGGGGCGCCCCCCUGUCUCGUGGAUAGGCUGUGGGCCCCCUGGCAUUAAUUCUUUCGCCAAAAAUUCUUAUUAAUUCCAAAAAGUGCCUCCGUGGAUUUCCAGGACAUUCCGAGAACUUUUCUUUUCUACACAUAAAAAAACAUCAUGGUAGUUCUGCUGAAAACAGCGUCAGUCCGGGUUAGUUUCAUUCAAAUCAUGCAAGUUAGAGUCCAAAACAAGGGCAAAAGUGUUUGGAAAAGUAGAUACGUUGGAGACGUAUCAACUCCCCCAAGCUUAAACCUUUGCUUGUCCUCAAGCAAUUCAGUUGAUAAACUGAAAGUGAUAAAGAAAAACUUUUACAAACUUUGUUUGCUCUUGUUGUUGUAACAUGAAAACUCCGCAUUCAAGUUUCAACAAAUAUUAUGAACUAACCAUACUCACAAUAACACAUAGGUCUCACAAUUACUCAUAUUAAUAACAUAAUCAGCUAGCGAGCCAUAAUAAUAAAACUCGGAUGACAACACUUUCUCAAAAUAAUCAUAACAUGAUAUAACAAAAUGGUAUCUCGCUAGCCCUUUCUGAGACCGCAAUACAUAAAUGCAGAGCACCUUUAAAGAUCAAGGACUGACUAAACAUUGUAAUUCAUGGUAAAAGAGAUCCAGUCAAGUCAUACCCAAUAUAAAUCAAUAAUAAUGAAUGCAAAUGACAGUGUGCUCUUCGGCGGGUGCUUUUUAAUAAGAAGGAUGAUGACUCAACAUAAAAGUAAAUAGAUAGGCCCUUCGCAGAGGGAAGUAGGGAUUUGUGGAGGUGCCAGAGCUCGAUUUUAAAAUAGAGAUUGAAUAACAUUUUGAGCGGCAUACUUUCACUAUCAACACAACAUCUAUGGGAUGGCUGUAUCUUCCAUACUACAUGCAUUAUAGGCAGUCCCCAAAAAGAAUGGUAAAGGUUUAUACUCCCGCAACCACCAACAAGCAUCAAUCCAUGGCUUGCUCGAAACAACGAGUGCCUCCAACAUACAAUAGCCCUGGGGGAGUUUUGUUUAAUUAUUUUGAUUUUCUUUGAUCUUUUUGGAUCAUGGGACCGGGCAUCCCGGUUACCGGCCCUUUCUCGUGAAUGAGGAGCGGAGUCCACUCCUCUUGAGAAUAACCCACCUAGGAUGGAAGAUAUAGGCAGCCCUAGUUGUAACAUGAGCUGCUCGAGCAUACAAAACAGAAUUUCAUUUGAAGGUUUGGAGUUUGGCACAUACAAAUUUACUUGGAACGGCAGGUAAAUACCGCAUAUAGGUAGGUAUAGUGGACUCAUAUGGAACAACUUUGGGGUUUAAGGAGUUUGGAUGCACAAGCAGUAUUCCCGCUUAGUACAGGUGAAGGCUAGAAAAAGACUGGGAAGCGACCAACUGAGAGAGCGACAACAGUCAUAAACAUGCAUUAAAAUUAAUUCACACCAAGUACAAGCAUGAGUAGGAUAUAAUCCACCAUGAACAUAAAUAUCGUGAAGGCUAUGUUGAUUUGAUUCAACUACAUGCGUGAACAUGUGCCAAGUCGAGUCAGUUAAUACAUUCAAAGGAGGAUACCAUCCCAUCAUACCACAUCAUAAUCAUUCUAAUAGCAUGUUGGCACGCAAGGUAAACCAUUAUAACUCAUAGCUAAUCAAGCAUGGCACAAGUAACUAUAAUCUCUAAAUGUCAUUGCAAAUAUGUUUACUUCACAAUAGCUGACUCAGGAACGAUGAAUCAUCAUAUUUACAAAAACAAGAGAGGUCGAGUUCAUACGAGCUUUUCUCAUCCCAAUAAGUCCAUCAUAUAUCGUCAUUAUUGCCUUUCACUUGCACGACCGAACGAUGUGUAUAAUAAUAAGAGUGCACGUGCAUUGGACUAAGCUGGAAUCUGCAAGCAUUCAACUCAAGAGAGAAGACAAGGCAAUAUGGCUCUAAGUUAAAUAGACAAUCAUGCAUAUAAGAGUCACUAAGCAUUUUCAAUAUGGUCUUCUCGACCCCCGAAGGAAAGAAAUGAAAAUAAAACUAUUUACACGGGAAAGCUCCCAACAAGUAAAAAGAAGAGCGAGAAAUCUUGUUGGGUUUUCAUUUUAAUUUCUACUACAAGCAAGGGAAUUAAACUAACUAAUUUUUUUGGUUUUUCUUAAGGUUUAUCGAACACACAAGAAGAAAACUAGAAAAAGAAAUUUAAACUAGCAUGGAUAAUACAAUGAAAGAGUAUGAGCACCGACAACUAGUGUGUGAACAUGAAUGUAAAGCCAGUGAGAAAUACGUACUCCCCCAAGCUUAGGCUUUUGGCCUAAGUUGGUUUAAUACCAAGGACCGCCGCUACUCUCCCCAGUGUAGUGGGAGGUGUAAUUAGGAUACCACUGGCUGGUCAUCUCCGGAUCCCACUGGACAGAUGAUGCACGAUAAGGGUCUAGUUCAGGUUCUGACUCAGGUUCAGGUUCCGGAGUAAAAGCUUGGGCUAGAUGGUUGUUGACCGCUUCCGGCGUGACAAGACGAUUUUCUGCAAGCAAAUCAAACAACAGAGGUGCGGGCAAAAUAAUAAACUCAAAGUGUUUCUUAUUGAAUCUAAGUCUAUACAAGAGCAUCUUCUCUUCGUUGUCAACAAUAAACUUGUGUGCUACCAUGCUCUUGUAAUCUAAAAUGUGAGGAGGUAAUUUUGUCUCCUCCUCCUCAAGGUGCCUAAUGGGUAUCUGAAAAUGUUCAGCAAGACGUGCAGCAUAAAUACCUCCAAAUAUGGGGCCUUUUGUACGAUUCAGGGCAAGCCGUUUAGCAACGACGGCACCCAUACUAAAAGUAUUGUCCCCAAGCAAAGCAUGUUGAAGAAUAAUAAUAUCUGGGACGCUCAAAUUUCCACUAUUUUCUCGACCAAUCAAGCAUCUACUAGCAAAUAUGGCAAAGUAGCAUAAAACUAGAAAGUGUAUGCUAGAGACCUUCGCCUCGGAGCCCUUCUUUGGCUCCUCUACAACAAUAGUAUUAACAAAGCCACCCACAUCAUCACGAUGGGGUUCAUCUAAUUCUCCCACAUAAGGUAUCCUACAUACCGCACAAAAAUGAUGUAAAGACAUUUCUUUGAAUUCAUCAUAUAAAUGAAAUGAUACUGCACGCGGUGACUUCUUAGGAUAAUAAAAAAGUUUUGCACGAAAGUAUUAGUGAGUAAUAGAUACUAAUCGAUUCGGUCGUUCAUGAAACCGGUGAGGCCUGUAGUCUCGAUUAAAGCAUAAAAAUCUUCAUGAAUUCCGGCUUCUUUCUAGAAAUCUUCACAUGGCCAUUCACACGACCGUACUUCCGCUAAGCGAGGAAGAUUAUACUUGGAUUUUUCCUUCUCUUUGGCUUGUUCUUCCUGAGAGCUUUGGCUUGAAGAGCCUUUAAAAAUCCUCCUUAACAUUUUCUGAAAAUUUCUGAAAUUUUAUAACUUCGAAAUAAAAGUGAAGAAAACUAAACAAGAUUGAUAGCAACUACUCCUACAAGUGCCUAGAGCCUAUAUCAUGCAUUGGAAUUGCUUGGGACCUCAAAAAUUUAACAUGCAAGCUCAAGAACAUGGUCACCUAAGCAGCAAAAAAUUGCAAUGAAUAAAGCACUAGAACAAAAACUAAUUGGACCAAUGGAGGAGUCACAUACCAAGCAACAACCUCCCAAAGCAGUUUUGUGAAUGGAGCUUUGAGCUAAGAGAUCGAAAAUCGCAGCAAAACGAGCUAGAACUCGUGCUUGAGCUGGAUGGGGAUUUUUUUGGGUAGAAGAUGAAGUGUGUGGGUGCUGGCAUAAGUGGAGGGGAGCCACCAGGGGCCCACGAGAUAGGGGCGCGCCCUACAGGGGGGCGCGCCCUCCUCUCUCAUGGCCUGGUGCUUGCUCCUCCUGCAGUGUUUUCAGUGCCUAAAAUCCUCAAAUAUUCCAGAAAAAAUCAUACUAAAUUUGCAGGGCAUUUGGAGAAGUUUUAUUUUCGGACUAUUUUUAAUGCACGGAUAAUUCAGAAAACAGACAGAUAAUACUAUUUUUGCUUUAUUUAUUAUAAAUAACAGAAAUUAAAAAGAGGGUACAGAAGGUUGUGCCUUCUAGUUUAAUCCAUCUCGUGAUCAUCAAAAUGAACCCGCUAACAAGGUUGAUCAAGUCUCGUUAACCAACUCAUUCCGAAUAACAUGGAACCGAAGAAAUUUCGAAUAACACUAGGUUACCUCAACGGGGAUAUGAACAUCCCCAACAAUAAGAAUAUCAUACUUUUUCUUGACAAUAGGAAGAGGAAAUUCAAAACCUCCAAUAAUAAUAGUUGGAACUUUUCCAAUAGAACUGAUGCUAUGAACUUGAGGUUGUUUCCUCAGAAAGUGUACCGUAUGCUCAUUACCAUUAACAUGAAAAGUGACAUUGCCUUUGUUGCAAUCAAUAACAGCCCCUGUAGUAUUCAAAAAGGGUCUACCAAGGAUAAUUGAGAUACUAUCGUCCUCGGGAAUAUCAAGAAUAACAAAGUCCGUUAAGAUAGUGACAUUUGCAACCACAACAGGCACAUCCUCACAAAUACUGACAGGUAUAGCAGUUGAUUUAUCAGCCAUUUGCAAAGAUAUUUCAGUAGGUGUCAACUUAUUCAAUUCAAGUCUACGAUAUAAAGAGAGAGGCAUAACACUAACACCGGCUCCAAGAUCACAUAAAGCAGUUUUAACAUAGUUUCUUUUAAUGGAGCAUGGUAUAGUUGGUACUCCUGGAUCUCCAAGUUUCUUUGGUAUUCCACCUUUAAAAGUGUAAUUAGCAAGCAUGGUGGAAAUUUCAGCUUCCGGUAUCUUUCUUUUAUUUGUGAUGAUAUCCUUCAUAUACUUAGCCUAAGGAUUUACUUUAAGCAUAUCAGUUAAGCGCAUAUGUAAGAAAAUAGGUCUAAUCAUUUCAGCAAAGCGCUCAAAAUCCUCAUCAUCCUUUGACUUGGAUGGUUUAGGAGGAAAGGGCAUGGGUUUCUAAAACCAUGGUUCUCUUUCUUUUCCAUGCUUCCUAGCAAUAAAAUCUCUCUUAUCAUAACGUUGAUUCUUUGAUGGUGGGUUAUCAAGAUCAACAGCAGGUUCAAUCUCUACAUCAUUAUUUUUGUUAGGUUGAGCAUCAACAUGAACAUUAUCAUUAACAUUAUCACUAGGUUCAUGUUCAUCACCUGAUUGAGUUUCAGCAUCAGAAAUAGAAAUAUCAUUGGGAUUCCCAGGUGUGUCUACAGUAGGUUCACUAGAAGCAUGCAAAGUCCUAUCGUCUUUCUUUUUCUUCUUCUUAGAAGAACUAGGUGCCUCUAAAUUAUUUCUUUGAGAAUAUUUAUCGAUUCUCUUAGGGUGGCCUUCAGGAUACAAAGGUUCCUGAGUCAUUCUACCAGUUCUAGUAGCCACUCUUACAGCAAAGUCAUUUUUAUUAUUUAAUUCAUCAAGAAAAUCAUUUUGAGCUUUAAGUACUUGCUCAGCUUGAGUAGCAACCAUAGAAGCAUAUUUGCUAACGCGGUGAAGUUCAUCUUUAACUCUAGCCAAAUUAUCACCUACGCGUCCUAUCUCGAAAGCAUUAUUCUUUAACUCUCUACCAACAUAAGCAUUCAAACUUUCUUGUCUAGCCAUAAAUUCAUCAAAUUCAUCUAUGCAUGGGCUAUGAAAUUUAGUAGAGGGAAUUUCAACUUUAUCAUAUCUAUAGAGAGAAUUUACCUUUACUACCUGUGUCGGGUUAUCAAGACAAGGUGGUUCUUCAGGCGGUAUAUUAAGACCAUGUAUUUCUUCAAUAGGAGGUAAAUUCUUAACAUCUUCAGCUUUAAUACCUUUUUAUUUCAUUGAUUUCUUUGCCUCUUGCAUAUCUUUAGGACUGAGAAAUAAAACACCUCUCUUCUUCGGAGUGGGUUUAGGAAUAGGCUAAAGAGUUGGCUCAAUUGGUUCAGGAAUUACUUCAGGAACUGGCUCAGGAAGAGUCCAAUUAUUUUCAUCAGUCAACAUAUUAUUCAAUAGUAUUUCAGCUUCGUCGACUCUUCUUUCCCUGAAAACACAACCAAAUCAUGCAAGUUAGAGUCCAAAACAAGGGCAAAAGUGUUUGGAAAAGUAGAUACGUUGGAGACGUAUCAGGCCCCCCUUUCCUUCCUCCUUCCUCCCCCUUCCUUCCUCUCCUAGUCCAACUAGGGAAGGUGGAAAUCCUACUCCCGGUGGGAGUAGGACUCCUCCAGGGCACGCCAUAGAGGGCCGGCCCUCCCUCCUCCUCCACUCCUUUAUAUACGGGGGAGGGCCCCCCAGGGACACACAAGUUGACAUUGUUUAGCCGUGUGCGUUGCCCCCCUCCACAGUUACACACCUCGAUCAUAUCGUCGUAGUGCUUAGGAGAAGCCCUGCGCCGGUAACUUCAUCAUCACCGUCAGCACGCCAUCGUGCUGACGAAACUCUCCCUUGGCCUCAACUGGAUCAAGAGUACGAGGGACAUCCCCGAGCUGAACGUGUGUUGAACGCGGAGGUGUUGUACGUUCGGUGCUUGGAUCGAUUGGAUCGCGAAGAUGUUCGACUACAUGAACCGCGUUAACUAAACGCUUCCACUUUUGGUCUACGAGGGUACGUGGACACACUCUCCCCUCUCGUUGCUAUGCAUCACAUAGAUAGAUCUUGCAUGAUCAUAGGAUUUUUUUGAAAUUACUGUAUCAGCCUGAUUUUUGGCCCUUUCUUUUUCUUUUGAUUUUCUGAGGUUUUUGCCUGAGUUUUCUUUUUCCGUGGCUUUCUGGUCUGGAAACUGAAGAAGGUGUUUUCUUCUUCCCUUCCAGAGUGGCUUGUCAUCCCCUAUCCAACCCUAUACCCUGUCAUUUUCAUCCUAGCCCAAAUCCCAAUAUUCUUUUUAUUGGGAAUAUUCCUUUUUCUGUUAAAGGAAUAACUCAAUUUUCCCUAGGUUGUGAAGCAGCCUAUAUAUCCCUCACUCCUAAAUUCCCAAAUAAUUCUCAUAAAUUUCUUUGGGUCAUAUCUGCCUCAAAUAUGGAAAAACAUUUCAUUUUCCAUGUUUUCCAUCAUCCUCAAAUAGUUCAUUUCCUAUUCUACCCUAAAUGGCACAUUGUGAAGUAAGUGCUAUUUUCCUUUGCCCAAUUGACCUCAAACUCCUUGGACAUAAUUUCCUGUCCAUAUCAUUGCCACAUGCGAAAAUGCAACCUCAUUUGCCUAGUAGUAAUUUAAUUAUGAUUUUCCAAAGUUUCUGUCCAGAAAGAAACUUUGUGAAGGAGGUACAAGCUAGGCAUAUCCAAAUGAGUUGCACUUUUUCAUGGUCCUUCAUAUCAUCAAAUCAUAGCCCUCCACCAAAGUUGAGCUCAUGUAAUGCCUCCAUGUGAGCACAACAUCAUGUCUUUGAUUUUGUCCAAAAUUUCAGUUUGUGAAGCAAGUAUAUUUUAUCUUGCUCCAUUAUGGCUGCAAAUUUUUCUAGGCCUUAUCCCACCCAUAUAACCUAUCUCCACCCAAUUUAGCAUAUUUUACCUAGCCAUUAUCCCUCUAGAAGUUUUGCAAGUUUCUGGUCAGUGGGGAUGUUUGUGAAGGAAGUACCAUUUUGGUUUAUCCAAAUGGUAUGAAACCUUUUUUAGCAUCUUCAUAUGAUCAAAUAACUGUGACUUGCCAAAGUUGAGCUUAAGUUGAUACUUCAUGUGAGUGCAUCAUCCAAAUCCCCAUUUCUGGCCAUUAUGGCAAUUUCUACAGCAAGUGCUAUCUAAACUCCUCCUCUUGAGCUGAAACCUUGCCAUCCUGAUCACCUUAGUGAGUGAUCAACCCCAGUCAAAGAUCAGUCUUAAUAUCCACACGUGUGAGCCACAGCAAACUCCAAACACAUUGCUGUUGCCUAGUGUUCUUGCUUCCUGUGAUCACAUCAGUGAGCACUAUGCUUGGCUCUCUCUUCCUUGGCAUCUAUCUUUGCAUCCCUUGUCUCCCAGACAUGAUUUGGCCGAUCAGAGCACGGGUUAGCAUCGUGUCCACGCGGUGACCACCAUUUUGGCAUGUCACCCCCGCGCUCUAGCGCCUCUCCCUUCUUCUCCCCGUUUGUGCACUCGUCCCCUCGGAGCCUAGUCAUGUCCAGUGUGUUCACCGCGUUGUCGCCGUCCCUCUAGAGCGCUUUCCCCCUCCGUCUUCUUCUCCGGUGCCGUCCCUCUCACCACAUUGUGCGCGCGCAGUAGCCGACCAUCAUCUUGUCCUCUGUCGGCUUCUUCCUCCCUUGUCCUCGAGCUCCGCUCGUCUCUGUGACCACUGGUGCUCGUCCGUUCCCUCCCCAUCGUCUUCCCCGAGCUCAUGCGCGAGCACACGCGUCCGCGGUGACGCCAGCUCGGCCAUGACCUCGCCCGGCUAUUUAAGCCAGCCCCGAGCCCCUCCGAGCACUCCAAGCCACUCCUCCACCUCCCAGGACCCCGCCCCGCUUCUCUCCCGAGCUCAAAGAGCUCUCUGUUUCCCUCCAUGGCUGUCGUGCCCACAUCGGCCUCGGCCUAAAUUCGUGCACAGCCAAGGACCCCUCCCUCUCUAGCCACCACCGUCGUCCUUCCCAACUCUCCUGGAGCCUUCCCAGCCCGUUCCCUUGUCGCCAGAGCAACCGGGUCCGCGAGUCCGGCGAUGCCCGAAGCACUCCUCCGCCGCGACCAUCAUUCCGCCCGCGUCGGUGCUCUCCGGCUUGGCCAGACCCCUCAGGCGUGUGAGGCUCGUCGUCCAGGUCACUCCGGUGGCCGGAGCGUCGCCAGAGAUGGCCAGAGCAGCCCAGACGAGCGUCGGUGUCGGUGGCCUGCCUCUGCUUUGCGGGCGGCGUUGAGCUAGAGAAGGAGGAGAGGGAGGAGAGAGAGAGGUGCGUGGCCCCCACCCGUCAGCCACACAGGAGCCGGCCCCGUGUUGACCCCGCUGAUGCUGACGUGGAUAAGUGGCAACGUGAUCCUCCAGAAUACGCUUUCAUUUUUUCCGUCCAGGCCCUGUUAGAAAAUAUUUUUCUUGCAGAUAGGUCCCUCGCAGAAAACUCCUCCUAAUUUUUUAUCAGUAACUCCGAUCAUGGUGAAUGCAACGCCCACGUCUUCAUCUCGUCGAUCCUGUUCUGUUGCCCUCAUUUUCACUAUGGGUUGACGUAUUGAAAAUGACCUUUUUUCCCUUGCCCCUAAUCAGCCCCUCCGAGAGAGAACCCUUUCCAGCGAUUCUUUCCGCGGUCGUUCCGCACUUCUUCCCAGAGCCUUCUUCAUCCCCAGGCAAGCCACAACCACCAUUUGCAUGAUAGCCAUGCAGAAGCAUUGGUUUCCAACUUGAAUGUUUAAUAACUAUUUGAUUGUUUUGCUACUGCUGUCAUUAUUUCGGUUAUGUUUAUGGAUCAGUUUUUACCGUCAUGUUUUCUUGCGCUCUGUUAUUAUGCUCUUCAUGCUAGUAUUACUUACUUAUGGACCUUUUUUGGUAGUAGUACAUGUUGGUGAUGGUCUUCGGUGCAUGACUAUCAUCUGUUCUGAGUACCGCCGUUAUGAAUGUUUCUUUGCAUGUAGUUGAUUAAGUACUUGCAUGGUCGUUUUAUCGUUAUGUUAUUGCUGUUGGGGAACGCGGUAAUUUCAAAAAUUUCCUACGCACAUGCAAGAUCAUGGUGAUGCAUAGCAACAAGAGGGGAGAGUGUUGUACACGUACCCUCGUAGACCGAAAGCGGAAGCAUUAGCACAACGCGGUUGAUGUAGUCGUACGUCUUCACGAUCCGACCGAUCAAGUACCAAAUGCACGGCACCUCCGAGUUGAACACACGUUUAGCUCGAUGACGUCCCUCGAACUCCGAUCCAGCCGAGCUUUGAGGGAGAGUUCCGUCAGUAUGACAGCGUGGUGAUGAUGAUGAUGUUCUACCGACGUAGGGCUUCGCCUAAGCACCGCUACGAUAUUAUCAAGGUGGAUUAUGGUGGAGGGGGGCACCGCACACGGCUAAGAGAUCCAAGGGAUCAAUUGUUCUGUCUCAAGGGGGUGCCUCCCUCCCCGUAUAUAAAGGAGUGGAGGAGGGGCCACCCUUGGCGCGCCCCAUGAGGAGUCCUACUCCCACCAGGACUAGGACUCCCCCCCUCCAUGUUGGAGUAGGAGAGGAGAGGGAAGGAGAGAGAGGGGAAAGAAAAGGGGGGGCGCCCCCCUCCUUUCCCAAUUCGGACUUGGGAGGGGGAGGGGCGUGCGGAUGCCCCUUGGCCGCCUCUCCUCUUCCACCACUUGGGCCCAUAAGGCCCAAUAACCUCUGGGGGGUUCCAGUAACCCCCCGGUACUCCGGUAUAUAUCCGAUAACCCCCGGAACCAUUCCGGUGUCCGAACAUAGUCGUCCAAUAUAUCAAUCUUCAUGUCUCGACCAUUUCAAGACUCCUCGUCAUAACUGUGAUCACAUCCGGGACUCCGAACUAUCUUCGGUACAUCAAAAUACAUAAACUCGUAAUAUAACUGUCAUCGAACUUUAAGCGUGCAGACCCUACGGGUUCGAGAACUAUGUAGACAUGACCGAGACACGUCUCUGGUCAAUAACCAAUAGCGGAACCUGGAUGCUCAUAUUGGCUCCUACAUAUUCUACGAAGAUCUUUAUCCGUCAAACCGCAUAACAACAUAUGGUGUUCCCUUUGUCAUUGGUAUGUUACUUGCCCGAGAUUCGAUCGUCGGUAUCUCGAUACCUAGUUCAAUCUCGUUACUGGAAAGUCUCUUUACUCGUUACGUAAUGCAUCAUCCCAUAACUAACUCAUUAGCUACAUUGCUUGCAAGGCUUAUAGUGAUGUGCAUUACCAAGAGGGCCCAGAGAUACCUCUCCGACAAUCGGAGUGACAAAUCCUAAUCUCGAAAUACGGCAACUCAACAAGUACCUUCGGAGACACCUGUAGAGCACCUUUAUAAUCACCCAGUUACGUUGUGACGUUUGGUAGUACACAAAGUGUUCCUCUGGUAAGCGGGAGUUACGUAAUCUCAUAGUCAUAGGAACAUGUAUAAGUCAUGAAGAAAGCAAUAGCAACAUACUAAACGAUCAAGUGCUAAGCUAAUGGAAUGGGUCAAGUCAAUCACAUCAUUCUCCUAAUGAUGUGAUCCUAUUAAUCAAAAGACAAUUCUUUGUCCAUGGCUAUGAAACAUAACCAUCUUUGAUUAACGAACUAGUCAAGUAGAGGCAUACUAGUGACACUCGGUAUGUCUAUGUAUUCACACAUGUAUUAUGUUUCCGGGUAAUACAAUUCUAGCAUGAAUAAUAAACAUUUAUCAUGAUGUGAGGAAAUAAAUAAUAACUUAAUUAUUGCCUCUAGGGCAUAUUUCCUUCAGUCUCCCACUUGCACUAGAGUCUAUAAUCUAGAUUACAUAGUAAUGAUUCUAACACCCAUGGAGCCUUGGUGCUGAUCAUGUUUUGCUCGUGGAAGAGGCUUAGUCAACGGGUCUGCAACAUCCAGAUCCGUAUGUAUCUUGCAAAUCUCUAUGUCUCCCACCUGGACUUGGUCCCAGAUGGAAUUGAAGCGUCCCUUGAUGUGCUUGGUUCUCUUGUGAAAUCUGGAUUCCUUUGCUAAGGCAAUUGCACCAGUAUUGUCACAAAAGAUUUUCAUUGGACCCGAUGCACUAGGUAAGAAACCUAGAUCGGAUAUGAACUCCUUCAUCCAGACUCCUUCAUUUGCUGCUUCUGAAGUAGCUAUGUACUCCGCUUCACAUGUAGAUCCCGCCACGACGCUUUGUUUAGAACUGCACCAACUGACAGCUCCACCAUUCAAUAUAAACAUGUAUCCGGUUUGCGAUUUAGAAUUGCUCGGAUCAGUGUCAAAGCUUGCAUUGACAUAACCAUUUACGACUAGCUCUUUGUCACCUCCAUAAACGAGAAACAUAUCCUUAGUCCUUUUCAGGUAUUUCAGGAUAUUCUUGACCGCUGUCCAGUGAUCCACUCCCGGAUUACUUUGGUACCUCCCUGCUAAACUAAUAGCAAGGCACACAUCAGGUCUGGUACACAACAUUGCAUACAUGAUAGAGCCUAUGGCUGAAGCAUAGGGAACAUCUUUCAUUUUCUCUCUAUCUUCUGCAGUGGUCGGGCAUUCAAUCUGACUCAAUUUCACACCUUGUAUUACAGGUAAGAACCCUUUCUUUGCUUGAUCCAUUUUGAACUUUUUCAGAACUUUAUCAAGGUAUGUACUUUGUGAAAGUCCAAUUAAGCGUCUUGAUCUAUCUCUAUAGGUCUUGAUGCCCAAUAUAUAAGCAGCUUCACCGAGGUAUUUCAUUGAAAAACUUUUAUUCAAGUAUCCUUUUAUGCUAUCCAGAAAUUCUAUAUCAUUUCCAAUCAACAAUAUGUCGUCCACAUAUAAUAUUAGAAAUGCUACAGAGCUCCCACUCACUUUCUUGUAAAUACAGGCUUCUCCAAAAGUCUGUAUAAAACCAUAUGCUUUGAUCACACUAUCAAAGCAUUUAUUCCAACUCCGAGAGGCUUGCACCAGUCCAUAAAUGGAUCGCUAGAGCUUGCACACUUUGUUAGCACCUUUUGGAUCGACAAAACCUUCUAGUUGCAUCAUAUACAACUCUUCUUCUAGAAAUCCAUUCAGGAAUGCAGUUUUGACAUCCAUUUGCCAAAUUUCAUAAUCAUAAAAUGCGGCAAUUGCUAACAUGAUUCGGACAGACUUAAGCAUCGCUACGGGUGAGAAAGUCUCAUCGUAGUCAACCCCUUGAACUUGUCGAAAACCUUUCGCAACAAGUCGAGCUUUGUAGAUAGUAACAUUACCAUGAGCGUCAGUCUUCUUCUUGAAGAUCCAUUUAUUCUCAAUGGCUUGCCGAUCAUCGGGCAAGUCAACCAAAGUCCAUAUUUUGUUCUCAUACAUGGAUCCCAUCUCAGAUUUCAUGGCCUCAAGCCAUUUUGCGGAAUCUGGGCUCAUCAUUGCUUCCUCAUAGUUCGUAGGUUCGCCAUGGUCAAGUAACAUGACUUCCAGAAUAGGAUUACCGUACCACUCUAGUGCGGAUCGUAGUCUGAUUGACCUACGAUGUUCAAUAGUAAGUUGAUCUGAAGUUUCAUGAUCAAUAUCAUUAGCUUCCUCACUAAUUGGUGUAGUCAUCACAGGAACCGGUUUUUGUGAUGAACUAUUUUCCAAUAAGGGAGCAGGUACAGUUACCUCAUCAAGUUCUACUUUCCUCCCACUCACUUCUUUCGAGAGAAACUCCUUCUCUAGAAAAGGAUCCAUUCUUAGUAACAAAGAUUUUGCCUUCGGAUCUGUGAUAGUGUACCCAACAGUUUCCUUUGGCUAUCCUAUGAAGACACAUUUCUCCGAUUUGGGUUCGAGCUUAUCAGGUUGAACCUUUUUCACAUAAGCAUCGCAGCCCCAAACUUUAAGAAACGACAACUUUGGUUUCUAGCCAAACCACAGUUCAUAAGGCGUCGUCUCAACGGAUUUUGAUGGUGCCCUAUUUAACGUGAAUGCAGCCAUCUCUAAAGCAUAACCCCAAAAUGAUAGCAGUAAAUCAGUAAGAGACAUCAUAGAUCACACCAUAUCUAGUAAAGUACGAUUACGACGUUUGGACACACCAUUACACUAUGGUGUUCCGGGUGGCGUGAGUUGUGAAACUUUUCCGCAUUGUUUCAAAUGUAGACCAAACUCGUAACUCAAAUAUUCUCCUCCAUGAUCAGAUCAUAGAAACUUCAUUUUCUUGUUACGAUGAUUUUCAACUUCACUCUGAAAUUCUUUUAACUUUUCAAAUGUUUCAGACUUAUGUUUCAUUAAGUAGAUAUACCCAUAUCUGCUUAAAUCAUCUGUGAAGGUGAGAAAAUAACGAUACCCGCCACGAGCCCCAACAUUCAUUGGACCACAUACAUCAGUAUGUAUGACCUCCAACAAAUCUAUUGCUCUCUCCAUAGUUCCGGAGAACGGCGUUUUAGUCAUCUUGCCCAUGAGGCAUGGUUCGCAAGUACCAAAUGAUUCAUAAUCAAGUGAUUCCAAAAGUCCAUCAGUAUGGAGUUUCUUCAUGCGCUUUACACCAAUAUGACCCAAACGGCAGUGCCACAAAUAAGUUGCACUAUCAUUAUCAACUCUGCAUCUUUUGGCUUCAAAAUUAUGAAUAUGUGUAUCACUACUAUCGAGAUUCAUCAAAAAUAGACCACUCUUCAAGGGUGCAUGACCAUAAAAGAUAUUACUCAUAUAAAUAGAACAACCAUUAUUCUCAGAUUUAAAUGAAUAACCGUCUUGCAUCAAACAAGAUCCAAAUAUAAUGUUCAUGCUCAAUGCUGCCACCAAAUAACAAUUAUUCAGGUCUAAAACUAAUCCCGAAGGUAGAUGUAGAGGUAGCGUGCCGACGGCGAUCACAUCGACUUUGGAACCAUUUCCCACACGCAUCGUCACCUCAUCCUUAGCUAGUGUUCGCUUAAUCCAUAGUCCCUGUUUUGAGUUGCAAAUAUUAGCAACAGAACCAGUAUCAAAUACCCAGGUGCUACUGUGAGCUCUGGUAAGGUACACAUCAAUAACAUGUAUAUCACAUAUACCUUUGUUCACCUUGCCAUCCUUCUUAUCCGCCAAAUACUUGGGGCAGUUCCGCUUCCAGUGACCAGUCUGCUUGCAGUAGAAGCACUCAGUAUCAGAAUUAGGUCCAGAUUUGGAUUUCUUCUCUUGAGCAGCAACCUGUUUGCCGUUCUUCUUGAAGUUCCCCUUCUUCUUCCCUUUAGCCUUUUUCUUGAAACUGGUGGUCUUGUUGACCAUCAACACUUGAUGCUCCGUCUUGAUUUGUACCUCCGCGGCUUUUAGCAUUGCUGUCGGUGUCAAAACUAGCAGAUCUCGGCUAGGGGGUCCCGAACUGUGCGUCUAGGCGGAUGGUAACAGGAGACAAGGGACACGAUGUUUUUACCCAGGUUCGGGCCCUCUCGAUGGAGGUAAAACCCUACUCCUGCUUGAUUAAUAUUGAUGAUAUGGGUAGUACAAGAGUAGAUCUACCACGAGAUCAGAGAGGCUAAACCCUAGAAGCUAGCCUAUGGUAUGAUUGUUGUUCGUCCUACGGACUAAAACCCUCUGGUUUAUAUAGGCACCGAAGAGGGUUAGGGUUACACAGAGUCAGUUAGAAUGGUAGGAGAUCUACAUAUCUGUAUCGCCAAGCUUGCCUUCCAUGCCAAGGAAAGUCCCAUCCGGACACGGGACGAAGUCUUCAAUCUUGUCUCUUCAUAGUCCAGGAGUCCGGCCAAAGGUGAUAGUUCGGCUAUCCGGACACCCCCUAAUCCAGGACUCCCUCAGUAGCCCCCGAACCAGGCUUCAAUGGUGAUGAGUCCGGCGCGUAGAUUGUCUUCGGCAUUGCAAGGCGGAUUCUUCUCCAAAUCCUGUGUACAUGUUUGAAUAACAUCCGGCUUCUUGUAAAUAUUGCGCUCCUCGGCUUUCACGCCCAAUAAUGGCCAUCUUCCACGUGUUGAACGAAUGUGAAAAGCCAGGGUAUUUUUACAUUAUACCCCCCUAGCCACGCAAAUGAGAUGCCUAUAAAAGAGACGGGGAUCUAGAUCCGAAUCACACCAUCCUCCCUUCGCGAGCAUUCAUCAGAGCGCAUCUGACAGAAAUCCAUUCCAUCAUGGACAAUCGACGCGACUCCUCCUCUCGCCCUUCCAGCCCCCAGCCUGGAGAUUGGGAGAGAUGCUCCAUAUCGCACAGCAAGUUAGUGGCGCUCCAAACCAAGGGAUUUCUUCCCCGAACCUUCAUGGUUCCGGUUCAAGCCGGACUCACCACCUAUGUGGGCGGAAAGCAAGCGGAGAGCGUCCCCAGCCCCUCCAAAGGAGAGCGGGUGUGCCUAAUCUCUUAUUUGAUAAGAGGGCUCGGAUUUCCAAUUCAGCCGUUUCUCCGGGGGCUCCUGGAGUUCUAUGGCCUCCAGUUGCACAACCUUACGCCUGCCUCCAUUCUGCAUAUUGCGGGCUUCGUGGCCCUUUGCAAGCUGUUUUUGGGCAUCGAGGCUCAUUUUGCGCUAUGGAAGAAGUUGUUCUGCCUUGCGCCCCGUUCUCAAGAGGGAUCAAUAUAUCAAGUGGGUGGAGCCGAGCUAUGGUGCAUCGCCGGGACCGGAUAUCUAUCCGGAACCCUGAAGAAGGCGUCCGAAGACUGGCCUUCGGAGUGGUUUUAUAUAGAAGAUGUCCCCCUGUCGGACCCUGUUCGGAUCAGCCUCCCUGAGUUCAAUAAUGCUCCUUUGAAGAAACGCCUAAGCUGGCGUCCACGGAGCCCUCAGAAAGAAAAUGACAGGGACGUCCUUUACCUGAUGAGCCGGAUAAGGUUGUUAGCUCAUUCCGGAUUGACCAUGAUCGGGGUCAUGGCCACAUGAAUUAUGCGGGGGGUGCAGCUGCUCCAGUAUAGAGGCCACCCCAUGUGGUAUUUCAACAGGGAGCAUGAUGCCACCCGCUGCGGCCGUAAGGGGCCGGGAUCGGUGGCUGAUCUGGUGAAGAUCUUGUCCGCGUUGUACAAGGGAGAAGAGGAGGAAUUCCUCUGCGUCAAUCCACAGAGCGGAUUUCUAUGAACAAUCCUCCAAGCUGGGUAAGCGGACAUUUAUUUUUGCCUAUCCGAUCCGUAUUCCCAUAGUCAAGUAUCUCAUUUUAUGAUUUCGACACAGGAACUGCGCCGGGCAGUAAAGGAUAUAAAUAGCCCGCCUCCACAGCCCGAGUAUCCGGAACGGUUCCUUGAUCUGACCUCCCAAGAGGAUCCGGACAUAUCGGUGGAGCUGAUCGACGGGGUAUUCCACCAAAUGAGCAUUGAUAAUGCCUUGGUCGCCAUUACGACCGAUUACCCCGCCAUACUUCCCGCCUCGCAGGUAAUUGAGACCAAUGUCCCAAUACUUUGAAAAUGACCCAUCCGUGCUUAUUUUUGAUCACCGUAUACUGAUGGCGCUUCGCAGGGGGCGCCCUUGAGGCGGAAGGCCGAGCCCGUGGUGGCUAGCCAACAAGGGGUAGCACGGCCCAACAGGCUAAAAAGAAGUGCGGUCCGGAUUGAAAUUCUGGCGCAACGGUAUGGCGUGCCACCUUACUCUCAGGCUUUAUUCCUGGGAGACAUACUAACGCUCGUGCUUUUUCAGGAAAAAGAGCGCUCGCCGAACUGUAUCCGGAGAGGUUGCCAAUCAAUCCUCCGUUCGCCAGGCUCCAAAGCCAGGUCUAGAGGCGGAGGCGAACACGAGGCAUGCGUCGGAUGCUCCUCCGACAGAGGAUGCCGACAGGUUAUCUGGCACCAAUUCCGAGGUGGAGAGUGCCAUGAAUCACAGGCGUCGCCGGACAAUUCUUCGCGACGUGUGUUUCUCCCCGGAGGCAUUGAAUGCCUUUAAUUCGGGAGAUGUGCAACUCCGUGCUGCUCGAAAUGGUCUAGCCAGAGCCACGGAGCAGUAUGUAAAAGACAUACGGGUGAGAAAAUUUGACAGUUAUAUAUGCCAGUAGCCCCGAGACUUGAAAUAGUUAGAAUAACUGAUUUAAGGAUCAUUUAUUGUGCAGGAUCUUACAGAAAAGAAUACCCAACUGUCCCAGGAGCUGGAGGAGUGCAAAGCCCAACUUGAGGCCGCACUAGCCGCAUCGGGGGAAGGCAAAGAGACUCCCUCUGGUAAUAUACGCUUCAAAAGAUAAACAACUUGUGAAGUGGGGCGUGUGUAGAAAUCUGACAAUAAUAUUGCAGAUGGCGCCGGAAUAGAUCCGGAUAAGCAACAGCUCAUGCGCCGGUUAAAAGCCGGCGAGAAUGUGCUUACAAGGGUGAGUCAAGAGAAAAACAAUCUCCAAGAUGCCAACACCCGGCUGGGUGAGGAACUAAAGGAUGUUCGUGCCCAGCUGUCUGACUCCGUGAAGGAGAAUCGGCGGCUUCGACGCGGCAUUUUUAGUAAGUGCUUGAGCGAACUUUGAAAAAGAGUUCGGCGAGCAAGUCCACUAACAAAGGUUUGUCUGUAGGUAUGCUCACAGGCCGUCCUGCAGAGGAGAUGCCCGGUUCUACGGGUGACCUUCUUCCCGAGCUCUUGCAAUUGCACGAACGAGUUCGGCAGGUGAUGAAAGACGUCACCCAGGCCUUAUGGUCAUCUAUCUCCUUGCCCGAAGGCCUUGGAGAGCUUGCAGAGAGGCUUAAGGGAGUGCGGUGGCGCUUGCGAUUAUGGAAGAUAUCGGCCUGCCGUCAAGGUGCCAGGGAGGCCUGGGCCAUGGUGAAGACGCGGUAUACGAAGGCUGACCCAAACCACAUGGCCAAGGUCGGACCUGUGGGGCCCGAUGGGAAGGAGAUCCCUGUGAGCUUAGAGUACGGCCAAGUAGAAUUGGCCGCAAAGUAUUCCCAGCAGGACUGUAAACUAGACAGCCUAUUAGAUGGCAUCGAAGAGGAAUACAAUCAGUCGAAUUGACUAUGUAAUUUAAGAUGACAUGAAAAAUGCCUUCCAGCCGGAUUGUAGAUUGUUUGUCAUAGCGGACCUUUUCGCUUCAACCUCAGGACCCAAUAGUCUGGAGUGUGUCCGAAUACCCUCGCGGUUAUAUAAGAACCGGGGCAUGCGUGGAUACCAGGCGUAGGGGUCAUUAGUGCUUUAUCAGACAAGUGCCCAACUAGUUAUGUUAUAUUACAUGGUUAGUAAGAAACAUCUUCCAGGGAGAAUAGUUCCGUUAGGGGUUCCUUUCCCUGGGAGGCAUGCCCUAAAGUGCAUGUCCGGACUGCGAAAAAAGAAGAAAAACAUCUGGGGGCAGAUAAAUAGGUAUUAAAUCAUAUUUUUGUUCACCGACCGAAUAUUCCCUUAAGAACGCUAGCUUUCGGCUUCACCUAGUCUGAGGUACACAUCCGGCUGAUCCGGCAGUAACAAUCGCAGAGGUGCUCCCUUUACCACCUAGCCGAACAAUCGGGAACGUAGGGGUAAGCACAGGAGCCAGGCAACCCAGCUUGGCCAAAACUUAAGUCAUAUCGAUGCAUAUAAUGGUGAAUAAAAGGUACAUGCGGAAGUAUGACACAUGUAUUGGGUAUAGAGCCCGUAUAAAUAAGCUUCUGUUAAAGAAGCCCCCAGGUAUAAUGAGCGCGAAUGGCGCUUCAAGUGUGUGCAAACAAUGCGCGAACAAGCUUUCAAAGGCUGUAAAUAAAAAGGAGGGAGAAGGAGAGAAACAGAAGACAACUAAUAUGUAAAAUAUAGACGGAGGAAGGAGAUGAACUCAGAAUCCGGCGCUAGGCGUAGAAUCUUCGGAGACGGGCUGCGUUCCAUGGGUUCGGCUCGAGUCGGUUAUCUGAUGCAUCUCGCAGACGGUACGCUCCUCCGGUCAGGACUUGGUCGAUGAUGAAGGGACCUUCCCAUUUAGGCUUUAGUUUGUCCUUUUUCUUGUCCAGCAGGCGUAGAACUAACUCGCCAACGUUGUAAGUUUUGGCCCGUACUUCUCUGCUUUGAUAUCUUCGAGCUUGCUGUUGAUAGAAUGCGGAACGGGCUUUUGCCACGUCACGCUCCUCCUCCAAUGCGUCCAAACUGUCCUGCCGAUCGAGCUCGGCUUCUCUUUCUUUGUACAUGCGCACGCGAGGUGAGUCAUGAAUUAUAUCGCAGGGCAGAACUGCCUCUGCGCUGUAUACCAUGAAGAAUGGUGUAAAUCCGGUGGUGCGAUUCGGAGUGGUCCGCAGCCCCCAGAGUACGGAGUCGAGCUCCUCUACCCAGUGCGUAUUAGAUUCCUUGAGGGACCGCACUAAUCUGGGUUUGAUGCCGCUCAUGAUUAGACCAUUUUCUCGCUCGACUUGACUGUUAGUUUGAGGGUGAUAGACUGAAGCAUAGUCGAGCUUGAUGCCCAUGUUUUUGCACCAGAGUUUGACCUCGUCGGCCGUAAAGUUUGUGCCGUUAUCAUUGAUGAUGCUAUGGGGGGACGCCGUAAUGAUGUACGACCCCUGAUAUGAAGUCUAUCACCGGUCCGGAUUCGGCCGUCUUAACAGGUUUGGCCUCUAUCCAUUUGGCGAAUUUAUCCACCAUGACCAGUAGGUAUUUUUGCUUGUGGGUUCCUCCUUUAAGGGGUCCGACCAUGUCAAGCCCCCAGACCGCGAAGGGCCUGGUGAUGGGUAUAGUUUUGAGGGCAGUGGGUGGCAUGUGGCUUUGAUUAGCAAAGAGCUGGCAACCGACGCAUCGUUGGACUAAGUCCUGAGCAUCUGCCCGGGCCGUCGGCCAAUAAAAUCCUGUACGGAAGGCCUUGCUUACAAGGGUCCGGGCUGCGGCGUGGUGCCCGCCGAGUCCGGCAUGAAUUUCAGCCAGAAGGUUCCACCCUUCCUCUUCGGAGAUACACCUUUGAAGGACUCCGGUUGUGCUUUUCUUGUAAAGCUCUCCCUCAUGGACAUUAUAGACUUUAGAUCGCCACACUAUGCAGCGGGCCUCAUUUUGGUCCUCGGGAAGUUCCUGCCUAGUUAGGUAGGCUAGGAAUGGUUCCAUCCACGGGGCAAUGACUUCCAUUAUUACGUGGGCUGAAGAUGUUACUUCAUUGGCAGAACCACCAAUUGUGUCAGUAUGUUCGGCGUCGGGCAGUGCGGUUGGGUCCGGGUUGUUGUUUCCGGAUUCUCCCUCCCAUAAUACGGAUGGCUUGAACAACCUCUCUAGGAAGACGUUGGGAGGGACGGCAUCGCGCUUUGCGCCAAUGCGCGCCAAUACGUCUGCUGCUUGGUUGUUAUCCCGGGCUAUAUGGUGAAAUUUGAGCCCUUCAAACCGAGCUGACAUUUUUAGGACGACAUUGUGGUAAGCUGCCAUUUUCGGAUCCUUGGCAUCGAAGUCUCCAUUUAUUUGGGAUAUCGCGAGGUUCGAAUCCCCGCGCACCUCUAGGCGUUGAAUACCCAUGGGGACUGCCAUCCGGAGGCCGUGUAGAAGGGCCUCGUAUUCGGCUGCGUUGUUGGAGUCCGUAUACAUUAUCUGUAGUACGUAUUGAACCAUAUCUCUGGUUGGGGAUGUCAAAACGACGCCAGCCCCCAGACCGGCCAACAUUUUGGAGUUGUCGAAGUGCAUUAUCCAGUUGGAAUAUGCGCCGUACUCUUUAGGGAGUUCGGCUUCAGUCCAUUCGGCGACGAAGUCGGCCAAAACUUGCGACUUAAUAAAUCACCGUGGCUUAUAGGUUAAGUCGAACGGGAGGAGCUCAAUGGCCCAUUUGGCAAUCCGGCCCGUCACGUCGCGAUUGUUUAUAAUGUUGUUAAGAGGCACUUCGGAGGCUACUGUUAUCGAACACUCUUGAAAGUAGUGUUGCAGCUUCCGGGGUGCCAUGAACACCGCGUACGCUAUCUUUUGAUAAUGCAGGUACCGUGACUUGCAUGGAGUUAGGACAGUGGACACGUAGUAAACUGGUUUUUGAAGGUGGAACUUGUGUCCGUUCGUUUCUCGUUCGACAACAAGCACUGCGCUCACAACUUGAUGAGUUGCCGCGAUAUAUAAUAGCAUUGGUUCGCCCAUGUUGGGCGCGGCCAGGACCGGGUUUGUUGCCAAUAUGACUUUUAUUUCUUCGAGUCCGGCCGUGGCGGCAUCCGUCCACUCGAAGUGUUCGGUGCAUCGGAGGAGGCGAUAAAGAGGUAACGCCUUUUCUCCUAAACGGGAGAUAAAGCAGCUUAGAGCUGCCACGCAUCCCGUCAAUUUUUGUAUUUGUUUGAGGUCCUUUGGGAUAUCCAAGUGUGACAGAGCUCGGAUCUUGGCUGGGUUUGCUUCAAUUCCUCUAUCGGAUACAAUGAAGACCAAGAGCUUUCCGGCUGGUACGCCGAAAACGCAUUUUUCCGGGUUAAGCUUAAUGUCAUAUGUUCGGAGAUUAUUGAACGUGAGCCUCAAAUCGUUGCUACGUCUCGAGCUUGCGUUGGUUUUCCCCGAAGAGGAGAGGAUGAUGCAGCACAGUAGUGUAAGUAUUUCCCUUAGUUUUUGAGAACCAAGGUAUCAAUCCAGUAGGAGGUCACGCGCAAGUCCCUCGUACCUGCACAACACGAUAGCAACUCGCAACCAAUGCUUAGGGGUUGUCAAUCCCUUCACGGUCACUUACGAGAGUGAGAUCUGAUAGAGAUAAUAUUUUUGGUAUUUUUGAUAGAUAGAUGCAAAGUAAAAAAGUAAAGGCAAAGUAAAAACAAAGCAAGUAAAUAAAGUGAUAUAGAUUGAUAUGAUGAGAAUAGACCCGGGGGCCAUAGGUUUCACUAGUGGCUUCUCUCGAGAGCAUAAAUAUUCUACGGUGAGUGAACAAAUUACUGUUGAGCAAUUGACAGAAUUGAGCAUAGUUAUGAGUAUAUCUAGGCGAUGAUCAUGUAUAUAGGCAUCACGUCCAAAACAAGUAGAUCGAAACGAUUCUGCAUCUACUACUAUUACUCCACUCAUCGACCGCUAUCCAGCAUGCAUCUAGAGUAUUAAGUAAAAACAGAGUAACGCCGUAAGCAAGAUGACAUGAUGUAGAGGGAUAAAUUCAUGCAAUAUGAUAAAAACACCAUCUUGUUAUCGUCGAUGGCAACAAUACAAUACAUGCCUUGCAACUCUUUCUGACACUGAGUAAGGACACCGCAAGAUUGAACCCAAAGCCAUGCACUUCUCCCAUUGCAAGAACUACCAAUCUAGUUGGCCAAACCAAACGGAUAAUUCUAAGAGACUUGCAAAGAUAACUCAAUCAUACAUAAAAGAAUUUAGAGAAGAACCAAAUAUUUUCCAUAGAUAAUACUGGAUCAUAAACCCACAAUUCAUCGGUCUCAACAAACACACCGCAAAAAGAAGAUUACAUCGAAUAGAUCUCCACAAGAGAGGGGGAGAACAUUGUAUUGAGAUCCAAAAAGAGAGAACAAGCCAUCUAGCUACUAGCUAUGGACCCGAAGGUCUGAAGUAAACUACUCACACUUCAUCAGAGGGGCCAUGGUGAUGAUGUAGAAGCCCUCCGUGGUGGAUGCCCCCUCCGGUGGAGCUCCGGAACAGGCCCCAAGAUGGGAUCUCAUGGAUACAGAAGGUUGCGAAGGUGGAAUUAGGUUUUUGGCUCCCCUUUUGAUCAUACAGGGAUACAUAGGUAUAUAUAGGAGGAAGGAGUACGUCGGUGGAGCUUCGAGGGGCCCACGAGGAAGGGGGCGCGCCCAGGGGGGAGGGGCGUGCCCUCCACCCUCGUGACCGCCUCGUGGCUUUCUUGACUGAGGGUCCAAGUCUCCUGGAUCUUAUCUGAUGAGAAAAUCAUGUUCCCGAAGGUUUCAUUCCGUUUGGACUUCGAUUCUGUUUCUUCGAAACACCGAAAAAGGAAAAAACCAGCAAUUCUGGGCUGGGCCUCCGGUUAAUAGGUUAGUCCCAAAAAUAAUAUAAAAGUGGAAAAUAAAGCCCAAUAUAGUCCAAAACAAUAGAUAAAGUAGCAUGGAGCAAUCAAAAAUUAUAGAUACGUUGGAGUCAUAUCAAGCAUCCCCAAGCUUAAUUCCUACUCGUCCUCGAGUAGGUAAAUGAUAAAAAAGAAUUUUUGAUGCGGAGUGAUACUUUGGCAUAAUUUCAAUGUAAAUCUUCUUAAUUGUGAUAUGAAUAUUCAGAUCCGAAAGAUUCAAGACAAAAGUUCAUAUUGACAAAGAAAUAAUAAUACUUCAAGCAUACUAAUCAAAGCAAUCAUGUCUUCUCAAAAUAACAUGGCAAAAGAAAGUUCAUCCCUACAAAAUCAUAUAGUUAGGCUAUGCUUCAUUUUUGUCACACAAAGAUGUUCCCAACUUCUAUACCCCCGAUGACAAGCCAAGCAAUUGUUCAUACUUAAAUAAUCUCAAACUUUUUCAACCUUCACGCAAUACAUGAGCGUGAGCCAUGGAUAUAGCACUAUGGGUGGAAUAGAAUAUGAUGAUGGGGAUUGUGUGGAGAAGACAAAAACGAGAAAGUCUCACGUUGACGAGGCUAAUCAAUGGGCUAUGGAGAUGCCCAUCAAUUGAUGUCAACAUGAGGAGUAGGGAUUGCCAUGCAACGGAUGCACUAGAGCUAUGAAUGCUCAACAAAAGAAAACUAGUGGGUGUGCAUCCAACUUGCUUGCUCACGAAGACCUAGGGCAUUUGAGGAAGACCAUCGUAGGAAUAUACAAGCCAAGUUCUAUAAUGAAAAAUUCCCACUAGUAUGAAAAGACAACUUAUGAGACUCACUACAUGAGGAACAAGGUGCUAGUUUGAAGCACAAUAUAUGAGACUCACUACAUGAAGAACAAGGUGCUACUUUGAAGCAAAAGUGUGGAAAAAGAGAUAGUAGCAUUGCCCUUUAUUUAUUUAUUUUUUGGGCCUUUCCUUUUUUUUGGCCUUUCUCUUUUUUUUGGGCAAUGCUCUAAUAAUGAUGAUCAUCACACUUCUAUUGAUUACAACAUAAGGAUUACAACUCGAAACUUAGAACAAGAUAUGACUCUAUAUGAAUGCCUCCGACGGUGUAUCGGGAUGGUGCAAUGAAUCAAGAGUGGCAUCUUUGGAAAAUAAUGCAUGGUGGCUUUGCCACAAAUACGAUGUCAACUACAAGAUCAUGCAAUGGCAAUAUGACAAAAGUAAUGCAUUCACGAUGAUGAUGAUGGAAGUUGCAUGGCAAUAUAUCUCGAAAUGGCUAUGGAAAUGCCAUAAUAGGUAGGUAUGGUGGCUGUUUUGAGGAAGAUAUAAGGAGGUUUAUGUGUGAUAGAGCGUAUCAUAUCACGGGGUUUGGAUGCACAGGCGAAGUUUGUGCCAACUCUCAAGGUGAGAAAGGGGAAUGCACGGUACCGAAGAGGCUAGCAAUGGCGGAAAGGUAAAAGUGCGUAUAAUCCAUGGACUCAACAUUAGUCAAAAGAACUCAUAUACUUGUUGCAAAAAUUUAGAAGUCAUCAAAAAUUCAAAUACUACGAGCAUGCUCCUAGGGGGAUAGAUUGGUAGGAAAAGACCAUCGCUCAUCCCCGACCGCCACUCAUAAGGAUGCACAAGCCAGGUACACUUCAUGUUUCAAAUUUGUUACAUAACGUUAACCAUACGUGAAUGCUACGGGAUUUGCAAACUUCAACACAAGUAUUUCUCAAAUUCAUAAUCACCCAACUAGCACGACUAUGAUAUUAUCACCUCCAUAUCUCGAAACAAUUAUCAAGCAUCAAACUUAUCUUAGUAUUCAACGCACUCAAAAGAAAGUUUCACAUAUCUUGAACACCAAGUAUAUUAACAUUAAGCAAAUUACCAUGCUAAUGAUGACUCUCAAAAUAAUCUAAGUGAAGCAUGAGAGAUCAAGUUUCUUUAAACAAAUCCACCACCAUGCUCAAAAAGAUCUAAGUGAAGCACUAGAGCAAAAAUUAUCACGCUCAAAAGAUAUAAGUGAAGCACUAUGAGCAAAACUAUCAAGCUCAAAAGAUAUAAGUGAAGCACAUAGAGUAUUCUAGCAAAUUUCAAUUCAUGUAUGGCUCUCUCAAAAGGUGUGUACAGCAAGGAUUAUUGUGGUAAACUAACAAGCAAAGAUGCAAAUAAUACAAGACGCUCCAAGCAAAACACAUAUCAUGUUGGUGAAUAAAAAUAUAGCUCCAAGUAAAUUACUGAUGGAAGUGGACGAAAGAGGGGAUGCCUUCCGGGGCAUCCCCAAGCUUUGACUUUUUGGUGUCCUUGGAUUAUCUUGGGGGUGCCAUGGGCAUCCCCAAUCUUAGGCUCUUGCCACUCCUUGUUCCAUAAUCCAUCAAAAGAAUUCACCCAAAACUUGAAGACUUCACAACACAAAACUCAACAGAAAUCUUGUGAGCUCCAUUAGAGAAAGAAAACAGAAGACUACUUCAAGGUAAUGUAAUGAACUCAUUCUUUAUUUAUUUUUGUGUUAAACCUACUGUAUUCCAACUUCUCUAUGGUUUAUAAACUAAUUUACUAGCCAUAGAUUCAUCAAAAUAAGCAAACAACACACGAAAAACAGAAUCUGUCAAAAACAGAACAGUCUGUAGUAAUCUGUAACUAACGCAAACUUCUGGAACUCUAAAAAUUCUACCAAAAUAGGAAGUCCUGGACAAUUUGUUUAUUGAUCAUCAGCAAAAAGAAUCAACGCAAAAGCACUCUCCAGUAAACAAUGGCAGCUAAUCUUGUGAGCGCUAAAGUUUCUGUUUUUCAGCAGAAUCAAAUCAACUAUCAUCGUAGGUUAUCAUAUAGGUCCUACUUGGCACAAACACUAAUUGAAACAUAAAACCACAUCCAAACAGAAGGUAGAUGGAUUAUUUUUUCCUAAACUAAAGCAAAAACAAAAAACACAAAAUAAAAUUGGGUUGCCUCCCAACAAGCGCUAUCGUUUAACGCCCUUAGCUAGGCAUAAAAGCAAGGAUAGAUCUAGGAAUUGCCAUCUUUGGUAGGCAAUCCUUCAAUGAGGCAUCUACCUCCCUUAGAAUUUUCUUUCUUUCUAGAAAUUAUCAAACCUUUAGGCAUAAGAUCGAAAAAUUCAUUCGUAGCAAAUGGUUCCUUAAUGAUAGUAAAAAGAUCGGGAUGAAUACUUAUAGAUUUAAGAUCUGCAUUUUCCUUACUAGAAGAUUCACCCUUAUUUUUAGGAACAUACAUAAGCUUGCAAUUUUAGUAGGAGGACUAGUAGUAUUCCUUACGGAGGAAAAAGCGGUUCCCAAAUUGGUAAUGAUACCCUCAAGUUUAUCGAUACGAGUAGAGUCUAGGUUUAUUUUUUCAUUAACCAUGGGUUCCUUUUCCUUAAUAUUUUUCAAAGUCAUUCCUACCUUAGAUCCGUAUUGAGUAAUUUGAUUAUGAAUCUUUUUAUCUAAAUUUUCAAUGGAUUCAAUGGUAGCAACUUUAUUUUCAAUAAUUUCAAGCCUUUGCAUAACAUGUUCCAAGGUUAACAUAGUUCCAUUAACCAAAAGAGGAGGUGAGCCAAAUAAAUCUAUUAAAGCAUUAUAGGAAUCAAAAGUAUGGCUACCCAAGAAAUUCCCUCCAGUAAUGGUAUCAAGGAUAUAUCUAUACCAAGGAUUAGCACCUACAUAAAAAUUGCGAAAAAGAACUGAAGUAGAUUUUUUCCUGGUAGAUCUAUUUUGAGCAUUGCAAAUUGUAUACCAAGCAUCUUUUAGACUUUCUCCCUCCCUUUGUUUAAAAUUUAGCACUUCAUUCUCGGGAGAUAACGGAGAAGAAAAGGAAUUAGACAUGACGACAAGCAAGCAAACUAACACGAGAAAACAAAAGGACGAGGAAAAGGCAAACGGGAAAGAGAGGAGGAGAUUGGGAAAGAGAGGGCGAAUAAAAUGGCAAGGGUGAAGUGGGGGAGAGGAAAACGAGAGGCAAAUGGCAAAUAAUGUAAUGCGAGAGAUAGGGAUUGUGAUGGGUACUUGGUAUGUUGACUUUUGCGUAAGCCUCCACGGCAACGGCGCCAAAAAUUCUUCUUGCUAUGUCUCGAGCUUGCGUUGGUUUUCCCUGAAGAGGAGAGGAUGAUGCAGCACAGUAGCAUAAGUAUUUCCCUCAGUUUUUGAGAACAAGGUAUCAAUCCAGUAGGAGGUCACGCGCAAGUCCCUCGUACCUGCACAACACGAUAGCAACUCACAACCAAUGAUUAGGGGUUGUCAAUCCCUUCACGGUCACUUACGAGAGUGAGAUCUGAUAGAGAUAAUAUUUUUGGUAUUUUUGAUAGAUAGAUGCAAAGUAAAAAGUAAAGGUAAAGUAAAAACAUAGCAAGUAAAUAAACUGAUAUGGAUUGAUAUGAUGAGAAUAGACCCGGGGGCCAUAGGUUUCACUAGUGGCUUCUCUCGAGAGCAUAAGUAUUCUACGGUGGGUGAACGAAUUACUGUUGAGCAAUUGACAGAAUUGAGCAUAGUUAUGAGUAUAUCUAGGCAAUGAUCAUGUAUAUAGGCAUCACGUCCGAGACAAGUAGAUCGAAACGAUUCUGCAUCUACUACUAUUACUCCACUCAUUGACCGCUAUCCAGCAUGCAUCUAGAGUAUUAAGUAAAAACAGAGUAACGCCUUAAGCAAGAUGACAUGAUGUAGAGGGAUAAAUUCAUGCAAUAUGAUAAAAACCUCAUCUUGUUAUCCUCGAUGGCAACAAUACAAUACGUGCCUUGCAAAUCUUUCUGUCACUGAGUAAGGACACCGCAAGAUUGCACCCAAAGCCAUGCACUUCUCCCAUUGCAAGAACUACCAAUCUAGUUGGCCAAACCAAACGGAUAAUUCGAAGAGACUUGCAAAGAUAACUCAAUCAUACAUAAAAGAAUUCAGAGAAGAAUCAAAUAUUUUCCAUAGAUAAUACUGGAUCAUAAACCCACAAUUCAUCGGUCUCAACAAACACACCGCAAAAACAAGAUUACAUCGAAUAGAUCUCCACAAGAGAGGGGGAGAACAUUGUAUUGAGAUCCAAAAAGAGAGAAGAAGCCAUCUAGCUACUAGCUAUGGACUCGAAGGUCUGAAGUAAACUACUCACACUUCAUCGGGGGGGCCAUGGUGAUGAUGUAGAAGCCCUCCAUGGUGGAUGCCCCCUCCGGCGGAGCUCCAUAACAGGCCCCAAGAUGGGAUCUCGUGGAUACAGAAGGUUGCGGCGGUGGAAUUAGGUUUUUGGCUCCCCUUUUGAUCAUACGGGGAUAUGUAGGUAUAUAUAGGAGGAAGGAGUACGUCGGUGGAGCUCCGAGGGGCCCACGAGGUAGGGGGCGUGCCCAGGGGAGGGGCGCACCCUCCACCCUCGUGACCGCCUAGUGGCUUUCUUGAAGGAUGGUCCAAGUCUCCUGGAUCUUAUCUGAUGAGAAAAUCAUGUUCCCAAAGGUUUCAUUCCGUUUGGACUUCGUUUGAUAUUCUGUUUCUUCGAAACACUGAAAAAGGCAAAAAACAGCAAUUCUGGGCUGGGCCUCCGGUUAAUAGGUUAGUCCCAAAAAUAAUAUAAAAGUGAAAAAUAAAGCCCAAUAUAGUCCAAAGCAGUAGAUAAAGUAGCAUGGAGCAAUAAAAAAUUAUAGAUACGUUGGAGACGUAUCAAUCGUCUACUAGAGUUUCGACGUGCUUGGUUUUGACGACCACAUCGUCUACGUAUGCCUCCACUGUUUUUCCGAUCUGGUUUGCCAGACAAGUCUGAAUCAUGUGCUGAUAUGUUGCGCCGGCGUUUUUGAGCCCAAAGGGCAUUGUGUUGAAGCAGAAUGGGUCGUAUGGGGUGAUGAAUGUCGUUGCGGCCUGAUCGGUCUCUGCCAUCUUAAUUUGGUGGUAGUCAGAGUGGGAAGGGAUCCUUUUGGCAAGCCUUGUUGAGGUCCUUGAAAUCGACGCAUAGGCGCCAGGAUUUGUCCUUCUUUGGUACCAUCACCAGGUUUGCUAGCCAGUCCGGAUGUUUUAUAUCUAUGAUGAAUCCGGCCUCCAAUAAUUUGGCUAGCUCCUCUCCCAUGGCCUGUGUCUUGGGUUCGGAGAAACGCCGAAGAGCCUGUUUGACUGGCUUGAAUCUUUUUAGGAUGUUUAGGCUGUGCUCGGCCAGCCGGCGUGGGAUUCCUGGCAUGUCUGAAGGGUGCCAGGAAAAAUGUCCCAAUUUUUGCGUAGGAAUUCUCGUAGUGCGGCAUCUACAUCAGGGUUUAAUUGUGCCCUGAUGGAGGCCGUUUUUGUAGGGUCUGUUGGAUGGACUUGGAAUUUGACUAUUUCGUCCGCUGGUUUGAAAGAGGUGGACUUGGAUCUCUUAUCGAGUAUCACGUCGUCCCUAUUUACUGUGGAGCACAGGGCAGUGAGUUCUUCGGCCGCUAGGGCUUCGGAUAGUGCCUCAAGGGCCAGUGCAGCUGUCUUAUUUUCGGCGCGGAGUGUUAUGUCCAGGUCACUAGCAAGAGCGAUAAUUCCAUUGGGCCCGGGCAUUUUGAGCUUCAUGUACCCGUAAUGGGGUAUAGCUUGAAAAAUUGUGAAUGCCUCUCGCCCUAAUAGAGCGUGACAUCCGGUGCUGAACGGGGCCACUUGAAACGUGACCUCCUCGGACCUGUAAUUAUCCGGCGUGCCGAAUACCACAUCCAGUGUGAUUUUUCCUGUACAACAUGCUUCCCGACUGGGGAUUAUUCCUCUAAAGGUUGUGCUGCUUCACUCAAUGCGGCUCCUGUCUAUUUCCAUUUUUCGGAGGGUUUCCUCGUAAAUGAGGUUCAAUCCGCUGCCACCGUCCAUGAGUACCUUUGUGAGGCGAAAGCCGUCCACUAUUGGACUGAGGACCAGUGCGGCUGGUGCUCGGGCUGUUCGGAAUUUAGGUUCGUCACUGGCAUUAAAGGUAAUAGCCGUGUCACUCCAUGGGUUUAUUGUUGCUACUUGGUAGACUUCGGCAAGGCUGCGGAGUGUCCGUUUCCGCAUAUUAUUUGAUGCGAACGUCUCGGAGACUAUUAAUACCGUACUGGUAUCCUUGGGCUGAUGCUCUGGAGCUAGAAGCUCUUCGCCACUUUUGGCCACCUGCCGUAGUAUCCAACAUGCUCUAAGGCUAUGAGUUGGAGUGGCACCCUCUGUACUAUGAAUUUUGCAGGGUCCAUUGAGCCAUCCCUCCAGUACGGUUCCAUGCCCUAUAGAGGGUUUUUGCUUUUUGGUAUUUAACCCAGGUGCCUGGCGAUGAUGCACCCUUUUAUUUUGGACUGGGGUUGUAUUGAGGGCCGGAUUGUCCCAAAAAUUGAUUUCGGUUUUCCACGCGCUUUCCAUCUCACAGUACUUUCGUACUAUGGAUGCCAAGUCAGCGAAGCGUGUAAUUUCACGAUGACUUACGGCGUUGGGGAUUCCCUUGUCCGUGCAAUUAUUGCGGAAGAAUGUAAUUGCGUCCUUCUCUAGACAGUCCUUUAUCCUGUUCAUAACCAAGAGGAAUCUGGCCUAGUAGUGGUGUACUGUUUCUGCGGGCUCUUGCCGGAUUUGGGAUAGAUCGCUUGUGUUUGGGUGGGUGGGUGGAACUAAAUCCGGAACCCCGUCCAAUCUCAGGCUCAGGGGCCAAGAAGUUUCCAGACUCAGAAGCUUGGGUUCUUGGAUGUUGUCCAAUGCAUCUAGACUGCUGCCUGACUUUAGGUUCAGGGCUUGAGUUAUGUCCUCCCCUCCGUGGGAAUCCGGCAUGGAGGGAUCGGGAAUCCGGACAUAGCUAGUCCUUAAAAUCGAGGAAGGGUCGCCGUAUUGCUCCUUAACCACGGCAAUGUGGUGGGUAACCUGGGGAGAAUUGAUCUCUCCCAGAUCGGCUUUAGGCCCAAUCUGAUCGUAGUCUGUAGCGACUCUCAGGGCCGCGAUGCGAUCCAAGAGCUCGUUUACGGAAGAGAGCUCCAUCGGAUCUAACUGCUCGACGAGUUCCGAGCUAACGUGAAGAUUGCUUUUGAUAACCCGAGAAGUCAUCAUCGGUGCGGUGGCCGGAAAGACGGUCAUAAGGAAACUGCCUAGCCAGAGAGUUUGGCCGAUAGCCAAAGCUCCUUUAGCAACAGUGCCGUCUUUAAAGACGGGAUGAGGCAUCCUUCCGGUUGCCGACGACACAGAGGAACUCUCAAUGAAAGCACCAAUGUCGGUGUCAAAACCGGCGGAUCUCAGGUAGAGGGUCCCGAACUGUGCAUCUAGGUGGAUGGUAACAGGAGACAAGGGACACGAUGUUUUUACCCAGGUUCGGGCCCUCUCGAUGGAGGUAAAACCCUACUCCUGCUUGAUUAAUAUUGAUGAUAUGGGUAGUACAAGAGUAGAUCUACCACGAGAUCAGAGAGGCUAAACCCUAGAAGCUAUCCUAUGGUAUGAUUGUUGUUCGUCCUACGGACUAAAACCCUCUGGUUUAAAUAGGCACCGAAGAGGGUUAGGGUUACACAGAGUCGGUUACAAUGGUAGGAGAUCUACAUAUCCGUAUCGCCAAGCUUGCCUUCCACGCCAAGGAAAGUCCCAUCCGGACACGGGACGAAGUCUUCAAUCUUGUAUCUUCAUAGUCCAGGAGUCCGGCCAAAGGUGAUAGUUCGGCUAUCCGGACACCCCCUAAUCCAGGAUUGUGAAGAGCUCGAGAAUUGUCUUGUUCAUCCCUUGCAUAUUAUAGUUCAUCACGAAGCUCUUGUAGCUUGGUGGCAGUGAUUGAAGAAUUCUGUCAAUGACACUAUCAUCCGGAAGAUUAACUCCCAGUGGAAUCAAGUGAUUGUUAUACUCAGACAUUUUGAGUAUAUGUUCACUGACAGAACUAUUCUCCUCCAUCUUGCAGCUAUAGAACUUAUUGGAGGCUUCAUAUCUCUCAAUCCGGGCAUUUGCUUGAAAUAUUAACUUCAACUCCUGGAACAUCUCAUAUGCUCCAUGAUGUUCAAAACGUCAUUGAAGUCCCGGUUCUAAGCCAUGAAGCAUGGCACACUGAACUAUAGAGUAGUCAUCAGCUUUGCUCUGCCAGACGUUCUUGACAUCGUCAGUUGCAUCUGCAGCAGGCCUGGCACCCAGUGUGCUUCCAGGACGUAAUUCUUCUGUGCAGCAAUGAGGAUAAUCCUCAAGUUACGGACCCAGUCCGUGUAAUUGCUACCAUCAUCUUUCAACUUUGCUUUCUCAAGGAACGCAUUAAAAUUCAACGGAACAACAGCACGAGCCAUCUAUCUACAACAACAUAGACAUGCAAAAAUACUAUCAGGUACUAAGUUCAUGAUAAAUUUAAGUUUAAUUAAUCAUAUUACUUAAGAACUCCCACUUAGAUAGACAUCCCUCUAAUCAUUCUAAGUGAUCACGUGAUCCAAAUCAACUAAACCAUAACCGAUCAUCACGUGAAAUGGAGUAGUUUUCAAUGGUGAACAUCAAUAUGUUGAUCAUAUCUACUAUAUGAUUCACGCUCGACCUUUCGGUCUUAGUGUUCCAAGGCCAUAUCUACAUACUAGCUUCGUCAAGUUUAACCUGAGUAUUCUGCGUGUGCAAAACUGGCUUGCACCCAUUAUAGAUGGACUUAGAGCUUAUCACACCCGAUCAUCACGUGGUGUCUGGGCACGACGAACUUUGGCAACGGUGCAUACUCAGGGAGAACACUUUUAUCUUGAAAUUUAGUGAGAGAUCAUCUUAUAAUGCUACCGUCAAUCAAAGCAAGAUAAGAUGCAUAAAAGAUAAACAUCACAUGGAAUCAAUAUAAGUUAUAUGAUAUGGCCAUCAUCAUCUUGUGCUUGUGAUCUCCAUCUCUAAAGCACCGUCAUGAUCACCAUCGUCACCGGCGCGACACCUUGAUAUCCAUCGUAGCAUUGUUGUCGUCUCGCCACCUAUUGCUUCUACAACUAUCGCUACCACUUAGUGAUAAAGUAAAGCAAUUACAGGGCGAUUGUAUUGCAUACAAUAAAGCGACAACCAUAUGGCUCCUGCCAGUUGCCGAUAACUCGGUUACAAAACAUUAUCAUCUCAUACAAUAAAAAUAACAUCAUACCUUGACCAUAUCACAUCACAACAUGCCCUGCAAAAAUAAGUUAGACGUCCUCUACUCUGUUGUUGCAAGUUUUACGUGGCUGCUACAGGCUGAGCAAGAACCGUUCUUACCUACGCAUCACAACCACAACGAUAGUUUGUCAAGUUAGUGAUGUUUUAACCUUCUCAAGGACCAGGCGUAGGCACACUCGGUUGAACUAAAGUUGGAGAAACUGACACCCGCUAGUCACCUGUGUGCAAAGCACGGCGGUAAAACUAGUCUCACGUAAGCGUACGCGUAAUGUCGGUCCGGGCCGCUUCAUCCAACAGUACCGCCGAACCAAAGUAUGACAUGCUGGUAAGUAGUAUGACUUGUAUCACCCACAACUCACUUGUGUUCUACUCGUGCAUAUAACAUCUAUGCAUAAAACCUGGCUUAGAUGCCACUAUUGGGGAACGCAGUAAUUUCAAAAUUUUCCUACGCACACGCAAGAUCAUGGUGAUGCAUAGCAACGAGAGGGGAGAGUGUUGUCCAUGUACCCUCAUAGACCGAAAGCGGAAGCGUUAGCACAAGCGGUUGAUGUAGUCGUACGUCUUCAUGAUCCGACCAAUCACGUACCGAACGCAUGGCACCUCCGAGUUCAGCACACGUUCAGCUCGAUGACAUCCCUCGAACUCCGAUCCAGCCGAGCUUUGAGGGAGAGUUCUGUCAGUAUGACAGCGUGGUGAUGAUGAUGAUGUUCUACCGAUGCAGGGCUUCGCCUAAGCACCUCGACGAUAUUAUCGAGGUGGAUUAUGGUGGAGGGGGGCACCGCACACAGCUAAGAGAUCCAAGGGAUCAAUUGUUCUGUCUCAAGGGGGUGCCUCCCACCCCGUAUAUAACGAGUGGAGGAGGGGGAGGUGGCCGGCCACCCUUGGCGCGCCCCAUGAGGAGUCCUACUCCGACCGGGAGUAGGACUCCCCCCUUCCAUGUUGGAGUAGGAGAGGAUAGGGAAGGACAGAGAGAGGGGAAAGGAAAGGGGGGGCGCCGCCCCCCUCCUUGUCCAAUUUGGACCUCAGGGGGAGGGGCGCACGGCUGCCCCUUGUCCGCCUCUCCUCUUCCAACACUUGGGCCAAUAAGGCCCAAUAACCUCCGGGGGGUUCCGGUAACCCCCGGGUACUCCGGUAUAUAUCCGAUAACCCCCGGAACCAUUCCGGUGUCCGAACAUAGUCGUCCAAUAUAUCAAUCUUCAUGUCUCGACCAUUUCGAGACUCCUCGUCAUGUCUGUGAUCACAUCAGGGUCUCCGAACUAUCUUCGGUACAUCAAAAUACAUAAACUCAUAAUAUAACCGUCAUCGAACUUUAAUCGUGCGGACCCUACGGGUUCGAGAACUAUGUAGACAUGACCGAGACACGUCUCUAGUUAAUAACCAAUAGCGGAACCUGGAUGCUCAUAUUGGCUCCUACAUAUUCUAUGAAGAUCUUUAUCGGUCAAACCGCAUAACAACAUACGUUUUUCCCUUUGUCAUCGGUAUGUUACUUGCCCGAGAUUCGAUCGUCGGUAUCUCGAUACCUAGUUCAAUCUCGUUACCGGCAAGUCUCUUUACUCGUUACGUAAUGCAUCAUCCUGUAACUAACUCAUUAGGUACAUUGCUUGCAAGGCUUAUAGUGAUGUGCAUUACCGAGAGGGGCCAGAGAUACCUCUCUAACAAUCGGAGUGACAAAUCCUAAUCUCGAAAUACGUCAACUCAACAAGUACCUUCGGUGACACCUGUAGAGAACCUUUAUAAUCAUCCAGUUACGUUGUGAUGUUUGUUAGCACACAAAGUGUUCCUCCGGUAAGCGGGAGUUACAUAAUCUCAUAGUCAUAGGAACAUGUAUAAGUCAUGAAGAAAGCAAUAGCAACAUACUAAACGAUCAAGUGCUAAGCUAACGGAAUGGGUCAAGUCAAUCACAUCAUUGUCCUAAUGAUGUGAUCCCGUUAAUCAAAUGACAACUCUUUGUCCAUCACUAGGAAAGAUAAUCAUCUUUAAUUAACGAACUAGUCAAGUAGAGGCAUACUAGUGACACUCAGUUUGUCUAUGUAUUCACACAUGUAUUAUGUUUCUGGGUAAUACAAUUCUAGCAUGAAUAAUAAACAUUUAUCAUGAUAUGAGGAAAUAAAUAAUAACUUUAUUAUUGCCUCUAGGGCAUAUUUCCUUCAGUUGCAUGGUAGUUAUUUUGAUGCUAGUAUCAUGUCAUGCUAUGAGUAGUGUGCUAGUUGUGAUAUUAUGCUCGUCAGUACGCCAUGCUCAUCUGGAUAAAUGGUUAAAUGUUGUUGUUAUGCUUGUUGAUUUUGAUGCAUCACCAUGCUUAUGUUGAUAUCAUGUUCAUGCAUUGUAGUUGCAUCAUGUUAUUUUAUCAUGGCUCAGCAUAUUGCAUUCAAGUUUAACCGGAUUAAACUGAACUUGAACAAUUGUUCGCUGAGUCAUGGUGCCACCAUAUCAAUCUGACUAGUGCAACCACGCUUACCUUAUGGGAAGGUCCUAGCUGGGUCUAUUGUCAUGCCUCUCACCGGUGCCUCCCGCGAGGGAAGGUUAUGCGCGGGUGCUACCUUGGCCAGGUAGGACGGCAUAAGCCUUGUGUGCCCAUUGUUGAGUAUGGAUCCUUGGCCCCGUUUGGGACUGUGUUGCCACGACGGUGGCCGUUGGUGCCUUUGGUAGGAACGGGGCCACCCAGGACUUAGCCCAAAGGGGAGUUGGUCGGAGUGGCCGGGAGAGUGGCAUGGCAGUAGGACAGUUUCGUCGGAACGCUUUGGUCCACCCGAAUGGGAGUGUGAGGCCAGGGUUCCGUGGUGUGGGUACUGUGUGCUAACCUCUAUAGAGAGUGUGUGUUUAAUCUAUUGAUAGCCGCACCCGCGGAUAUGGGCCCAGUUCGUAGUUGGUCACACUGUGGGUCAAUAGUAAACAUAAUGAUGUGCUUAAUAACAACCCUGGUUCGAUGAUGAAAGAAGUUGGUUGAUAUUUAUGUGAUUGUGAGAGGAUCAUUGCGGUAUCAUGAAUACCAACUUGUUGGAUAUGUGCGAUGUUAUGCGAAAGUCAAGGGUAACGGUCAAGCUCCUUGUGGUCAUGAAUGAUUACUACGGUAUUGUUAAUACCAAGCUUGAUUGGAUCCUGAGAUGAUCGUGUGAGGUCCGUGAUGGUAAGUGUGUGCAGGUGAUGGUUACGAUGUAACCCGAGCAGAGUAAGAUGGUGCAUGAUAGUGUCAUCAUGUUGCAUGCUAGUUUCAUCAUGUUUAUAUGUUCAUGCCAUGCUUAUAUUGUGCUAGUUGUAUCAUGUUAUUCAUGCCAUGUUGUUCUGAUGAUAUUAUGUUAAUCCUUGUUAACCUGUUAUUGCCAUGCUAUUGUUUGUCUUGAUUGCUUUGGUUGCUGUGAGCUUGCAAGUACAUACAAUGUACUGACCUGGCGUGUCAUGCCAGUUUGCAGGUCAUGCCGGAUAUGAUUGCUUGUUUGCGAGCUAGGAUAAGCGUUCCAGCUAGAGUCCCUAUGGAGUGGAGUUCACCACCGCCGUCAUUGUUCCACUGCUAGAGUCAUUCCGCUGCGUCGAGUUGUUCUGCUGCUUGCAUGGAGCAACUGUGGCAGGCGUAGUGUCGCCGUGCCGAUGUAACCCCCUUGUACCCAUAUAGGUUGUAAUAAAGAGCUGGUUUGUUCUAUGCUAAGCAUUGUCGUAUUCCAGAAGACUUCUCCUUGAUCUCUGGACUGGAAUACGGAGCGUUCUGGUUUCUCUGAGCCGGUGUGCCACAAUUACCGCGUUCCCCAAUAGUGGCAUCCGAGCCAGGUCUAUGCGUAGAUGUUAUAUGCACGAGUAGAACACAAAGUGUUGUGGGCGAUAAUAGGCAUACUGCUUAUCAGCAUGUCAUACUUUGAUUCGGCGGUAUUGUUGGAUGAAGCGGCUCAGACCGACAUUAUGCGUACGCUUAUGCGAGACUGGUUCUACCGACGUGCUUUGCACAUAGGUGGCUGGUGGGUAUCUGUUUCUCCAAAUUUAGUUGAAUCGAGUGUGGCUACGCUCGGUCCUUGUUGAAGGUUAAAACAACACACUUGACAAAAAAUCAUUGUGGUUUUGAUGCGUAGGUAAGAACGGUUCUUGCUAGAAGCCCGUAGCAGCCACGUAAAACUUGCAACAACAAAGUAGAGGACGUCUAACUUGUUUUUGCAGGGCUUGCUAUGAUGUGAUAUGGUCAAGCAUGAUGUGAUAUAAAUUGUUGUAUGAGAUGAUCAUGUUUUGUAACAAAGUUAUCGGCAACUGGCAGGAGCCAUAUGGUUGUCGCUUUAUUGUAUGCAGUACAAUCACCAUGUAAUUGUUUUACUUUAUCACUAAGCAGUAGCAAUAGUCGUAGUAAUAAUAGGUGGUGAGACGACAAUGAUGCUACGAUGGAGAUCAAGGUGUCACGCCGGUGACGUUGGAGAUCAUGACGAUGCUUCGGUGAUGGAGAUCAUGAGCACAAGAUGAUGAUGGCCAUAUCAUGUCACAUGUUUUGAUUGCAUGUGAUGUUUAUCCUUUAUGCAUCUUAUUUUGCUUAGAACGUCGGUAGCAUUAUAAGAUGAUCCCUUACUAAAUUUCAAGGUACAAGUGUUCUUCCUAAGUAUGCACCGUUGCUACAGUUCGUCGUGCCGAGACACCACGUGAUGAUCGGGUGUGAUAAGCUCUAUGUUCACAUACAAUGGGUGCAAGCUAGUUUUGCACACGCGGAAUACUCGGGUUAAACUUGACGAGCCUAACAUAUGCAGAUAUGGCCUCAAAACACUGAGACCGAAAGGUCGAGUGUGAAUCAUAUAGUAGAUAUGAUCAACAUAGUGAUGUUCACCAUUGAAAACUACUCCAUCUCACGUGAUGAUCGGACAUGGUUUAGUUGAUUUGGAUCACGUGAUUGAUGAAGCCAUGUACUUAGGGUAGGGUCAUGGACCUGUCCAAGAUACCCUCCCCAAGGACAUCUCUAGAAGAAACCACCUUUCAGUCGGCCUGGAAGGGUUCCACUCGACGGACUCGAAGACACUCGACCAUGAAUCCAACCACUCGACCGCCAGGAGACCUAAAGUCACUCUGCACGCAAACGGUCUAUCAUUAAGUAGCUUUUAUGGUCAUCAUAGCACUUUAUUUGUGGCGUUACCAGAAACGCCCGACCUUAAUGUACCUUAAACCCUGCAUAACUGAGGGCCGGAGGGGUCUGGCGGACUCUAUAUAAGCCACCCCCCUCCUCAGUGUAAAGGGUUCGCACCCCUGUAACUCAUAUACGCAUAAUCCAGUCGAUCGCCUCCGGGCUCCAAGACGUAGGGUUGUUACUUCCUCCGAGAAGGGCCUGAACUCGUAAAUCUCUUGCGUAUACAACUACUCCAUAGCUAGGACCUUGCCUCUCCAUUCGUACCCCCUACACUAUUGUCAUACUUAGAACUACAACAGUUGGCGCCCACCUUGGGGCAGGUGUCUUAGCGACUUAUUGGAGAAGUUGCGAUUUUUUCGAUCUUCUUCAUCAUGGUUUCAGGCGGAGUUUUGGUCGAGGGCCGCGAGAUCCGUCUCGGCGCGCUCACAUUCAUCGCCGACGAAUCCGCUUGGCUUCAGGAGGCUCCACUCGACAUCGAUGCACUCCCCGUCCGCGGGGCAAUGCACUUUCGCGCAUGCGUCCGCGAUGUCCUCCUGCGGCAACCGUCGACCUAGUAUCGGUCGACCCCUGUGUCAUCCUCCCUCCCUGUCUCCUGCCGACGCAAGCGCUCCGGUCGGUCGAGGCUUCAGCAGUGGGUGAGGCACGCGGUGGCUCGCCAGUCGACCACCUCCCAAGUCGCGGCGAUCGAGCCCGACGAAUCUCUCUACAGCCUGUUCGACCUGUCGACUUGCUCCGUAGAGACUGCAUCCGAGUGCGGCAGCAGUGAUCCAGCGGCGGAGGUCCUGAUGGUCAAUGGACCGCGCAGUCCUCCCGGCUUUCCCCACGCCGACAGAGGCGACGGCGGAGGCGAUCCGGUGCAGGUCCGCGAAGAGUAUCAACCCGAGCCUCUCACUUCACUACAGAGGGAAGAACUUUGCCGCCGGAACGUGGAUGCGCUACACACUCCUAUCGUUUGAGGAACCCCCGAGGCUCAUGCCUUAGAGGACGCGCGCUUGGCCAACUUGGCUGAGCGCAGUCGACUGGAAAACCUCCAGCGAGCACUCGACGAGCAUGCGCGGCAACGGGUUCCAGACUCCAGUCGACGUCAACUCUUUCCACCACCGACUCAGGUAUAUCGAACUCCGAUUCAGAAUCUAGCAGCUGCAGCUCAUAUAGCAGAGUCGAUUCAGCCUUCCCAGUCAGAGGCUGGCAGAGGCUUGUUACAGAUCAGAGCAUUACACCGAGAAGCAGGAGAUCAGAAUUCAGCUGUAUCACAGUCACGGAACAGGAUCCACAGCAGAUCCGUCGCUGCAAAUACAGUCCAGUCGGCCCAUAGCCCAAGAUCGCCCCCGAGGCAUGAGGCACGUGGAGACCGGCAUGAUCAGUACGAGAACCGGGAGCAGUACGAUGACCGACUCGAUCACGAUGAUCGACGUCGAGUGCCCACUGUCGGAGUAAUGGGCGACGGGUACCCCGAAGACGGCAAGACAAUUGUUCAAGACAUCGGGGCUAGAAAAGCCCCUCAGUCCGACUGCCCGGCCGCUCCUGCCAGCUCCCCGUCCGACUGCCCUGCCCGGCCGGCUGCCGGCUGCCGAUUGUGCCAACCAGUCGGCUGCCGACUGCGCCAACCAGCCGGCUGCCGACUGCAGCCCGACGAGACACCGGCGAGACAGAUGUACCCAAGCACUAUUCACGUGUCACCCCAACCAUCAUGUACAUUGACACUUGUCCCUGUGCACUAUUUAUGAAGUGACCCAAGGGACAAGGAUGACAUGCACCAUGCCUUACCCAUGCCCACUACGUAGCUUACAUACUAAGCUAGCCACACUACAUAUAGCAUCCAUCCAUCCACCACACACGCUACAUGCACUUGGCCGGCCACAAUGGAUCCCUGGACAAGCACUCCACCACGCAUGCAUGAUAGCUAGCACACACAUAUGAGACAUAUACAAGGCCAGAUGCCUAUGGCACUGACCUCAGAUACAACUCCAGGAGCACUCUGUAUCAGAUAUACUCAGACAUGCAGGAGUAGGGGUGUUAUCUCUCCGGAGAGCCCCGAACCUGGGUAAACUAGCGCGUGCUACUCGCAUACCCGUCCCUGGAUAUUCCGGCAGCAGUCUUGCCCUCACACGAAGCCACCUUGUGGCAUAUGUCGUCUUGCAACACCCCCCGUGAGAUGCGCCCACCGUGGGGCGGUACUAUGCUACCGCGCUCCUGCUAGUUUCGCAGUCCGGGCAGGACCAUCUUCGUCUCCACCGCCGCGGUGUCGCGCCGUCUCUCCGGUAGCGCUCGGGGGCUCGACUUCGACACCCCCCCCCCCCGAGCGGCCGCGCGGGACGGCGCGUCCUCGUUGUCAGCCUUGCCGCCUUCUUCACCGCCACCGUUGCGACGCCGGCCGUCCGUCCGCGCGCGCCUGCGCGCGGGGCCUCGCUUCGGUCGGCCGUGUCCGUCCGCGCGCUGCUCGCGUCUGCUCCCCUCUACGUUUGUGUAGCUCCGGCCGUAGCACACGGUCGCUCCUCCAUACACGCUAGCCACCAAGCUGGUGAAACCAUUUCUCAAACCAUUGCUGAUACUAGCGAUACACAAGCCAGAUAAUCCUCUUACCAUAGUCGUACACUUCCUAGACUAUGGACAGACAAUGACCAUAUAUUAGUCAGACAAUUGACUAGUACGCAGGCUGCUCCAUCCGCGGCCAUGCGCCAGCUCCACCACGGCUGCCCGGCGUACAGCCCGCCCCCGCCCGCUGCUUCAGCCUCGCUGCUUCCUUCCCGCGGCCGCGCGCUGCUCCAGCCCCCUGCGCGCUGGGCUGCUGCUCCGUGCUGCUCCAGCUCCGCCCAGCUCCCUCGCGUGCCUCGACGGCUCCAACCUCGCGCCGCCCGGCUGCUCUGCCGCCCGUCGCGGGCUUCCCCGUGCCCGUCGGAGGAUGGCCUCACCUCCUUCGACCUCCGGGUCGCCCGCUCCGCGCCGGCUGCCGCCCCGGCGGCCUUCUCCACCCGUCGCCCGCGCCGUUCCGGCCGCGGCCCCGUCCCGGCCUCCCGCGCCGACUGCCGGGUCAUGGUGCUUCGGCCGGGUGCUCUCCGUGCCUGGCCGCCUCCGCCUCCAACAGCCCGCGCGCUCGCGCCCCGAGCUCGGCCUCCAAGUCGCCGGCGCCACUCGGCCCCACUUCCGGCCUCUCCGCGCCGACUCCACCCUGCCGGAUGCCCUGCGCUGGGUCCUCUGUGCCCGCUCCGGCUCCCCGGUGCCCGGCUGGGUCCGAACUCGCGCCUCCGUCCACUCCGCACACAGCGCCGACUCCGCCUCCGCUCCGGCCGGCUCCUGCGCUCGCCGGCUUCCCACAACCCGGCUGGCCGGCUCCCGUGCGCCGGCUUCCCCGGCAUUCCGGACUCCUCCGUCCGUGUCGCCCUUGCCGACUGCUGCUCCGCGCCUGCAUCGCGCUCAGCCGCUUACCCGGACGGCUGGCUCCGCCCUGCACCCGGCUCGGCCUCCCCUGCUGCCGGCUGUUGCACUCUAGGUCCAGCAGCCUGCUGCGGCCGAGUGCCCGAAGAGAAAAGCACAGGCCGGCUGCAAAGAAAAUAAAGGGAAGAGGUCCGACUGACCAAGUCAACAGCCGGCUUGCUGCAAAAAAAAGAGACAGAGAGAGAAAGAGGCCGGCUGGGAGAAAAAGAAAAAGGGCCGACUGCCCGCUGUGGCCGGCUGCUCGUGGAAAGGAAAAGAGGUCCGACUGACCAAGUCAACAGCCGGCUGACGAAAAAAAAA